rnacentral:lncRNA from 1 species
CCCCACCCCAUUCAAUUUGAGAAUGUGCUAUUAUCUUGUAAACGGUCCAGAUCCCCACCCCUAAACCAUAUAUAUUCUUGUAGAGGACAAUAAAACAAAUCAAAUGUAAGAAAAGGGAAGUCCAUGGGGUCACCCCCACCCCUUUCAAUUUGAGAAUAUGCUAUUAUUUUGUAAACCAUUCAGAUCCCCACCCCUAAACCAUAUAUAUUCUUGAAUGGGACAAUAAAACAAAUGAAAUAAAACUAAUGGGAAUGUCAUGGGGGGUCACCCCCACCCCAUUCAAUUUGAGAACGUGCUAUUAACUAGUAAACGGCCCAGAUCCCCAUCCCUUAACCAUCUAUAUUAUUGUAGGGGACAAUAAAACAAAUGCAAUGAAAUAAAAGAGAAGUCCCUAGGGAGUCACCCCACCCCCUCUUGUUUGAGAACUUGUAAACGGUCCAGAUCCCCACCCCUAAACCAUAUACAUUCUUGAAUUUGAGGAUAAAACAAAUCAAAUGAAAUUAAAGGGAAGUACCUGGGGUCAUCCCCACCCUGUUCAAUUUGAGAAUGUGCUAUUAUCUUGUAAACAGUCCAGAUCCCCAUCCCUUAACCAUCUAUAUUAUUGUAGGGGUCAAUAAAACAAAUGAAAUGAAAUAAAAGGGAAGUCCCUAGAGAGUCACCCCACCCCCAUCUUGAUAGAAAACUUGUAAACGGUCAAGAUCCCCACCCCUAAACCAUAUAUAUUCUUGAAUGGAAGAAUAAAGCACAUCAAAUGAAAUAUAGGGAGAGUCCAUGGGGUCAACCCCACCCCACAACUUUUAAAUGAUUGAGAUCCCCACCCCUAAACCAUAUAUAUUCUUGUAUGGGACGAUAAAACAAAUCUAAUGAAAUGUAGGUAAAGUCCCUGGUGUUCACCACCACCCCCUCCUGUUUGAAUACUUGUAAAUGGAUGGUACCAUAGGAAUGGCGAGUUAUGGGAGCUUUGUUUGGGAGACUUCGUAACAGCAUCCUGUUACAAUUACUUCUUGUUUUUUUUACGUUUGCGUAAUUACAUUGGCGCGCAUUAGUUUUUCAGAAACACUAUGACAAGUAAAUUAAGAUAAUUCAUUUUUAAAAUGACUGUACAUAUGUAGUUAUAUUGAACUGAACAUGUUCAAAAGUUGAAUUUUAUAUUUUUCACAAUUCUGUAUUUUAUUUGUUUCUGAAAGAAAUCGAAAUGAUUUAAAAGCAGACCGCAAUGAGGACCCCAAAUUGGAUGUAUUUCAAAUAGAUAUAGGAAGAUGUUUUUCUACAACGGAGAUCUAUGAACAUGCACUGAUACGCCUAGACUGGGAAAAGGAUAUCAAGGUUGGGGUAACCCACCCUUUUUAUUCUGUUUUAUUAAGUAAACAGCUUUUUUUUCUUUUUGUUUCUAUCGUAAACACAAUCUAACGUUUGGGGCAGGUUACACGUGCUUACCUUUUUCUCUUAUGUCCUCUGAGUCAUUAAAAAAAAAAAGUGCAAAAUGACGACCUGAUUUAAAAAAAAAAGAAGGGGAACAAUAAAUGCAGGACCUUCUUUUGGAAUCAUACAGUGGAUAUAACUUCUGAUCUCUCGUUAGAAUUGUCAGAAUAAUCUGUCAUAGAGCUGUUGUAAACUCUCCUAGAACAGUUCUACCUAGAACAGUUCUACCCCAAAAACUGUUCUUAGUAGAACUGUCAGAACCAGUUUUAGAUAGAACUGUAUUAAACUGUUAUAGGUAGAACUGUUAGAUCUGUAAAUUUACUCUCGCAUUUUUUGUUUGUUCUGCCCUAUAUAUAUAUAUAUAUAUAUAUAUAUAUAUAUAUAUAUAUAUAUAUAUAUAUAACAAGAACAAAACAAUUGCGAAAGCAAAUUUACAGAUCUUACAUUAUUGGGUUGAUGUUUAGACGAGUUGUAUAUACAGAAUGUACACAGUCAUGUAUCACCAUCACUGCUGGUGAUCCGAUAGAUACAUCUGUUGUAAAAUUGUCACUGGUUCAGACGUACUUGUAAAUAUAUAAUUAUUUCUGUGACUGUAUCUUACAUUAAUUUGUAGGAUCCUUCACUAUAUAUAUAGAUAAUUUAGCUGAUCUGUAAAAAUAACAUCUUCAUGCCUUUUAUAGCAUGUACUGUAGUACGAUGCUAGAUUAAAACUGGCGAGGAAAGGUAACACCCGGCCAGCGAAAGCUUCAUUUUUAUGAAGCCCAUGUGUUCGUGUGAUCUAGCGCGCCGGUUACAGUGCAGGCGAUUUGGUGCCACGAUAUCUCAGUAGCAUGGGUUCGCCGGGAUUCGAACCCAUGCUACUGACAUAUCGUGGCACCAAAUCGCCUGCACUGUAGCCGUCCCGCUAGACCACAAGACCACCUGGGCUUCACAAUAAUAAAGCUUUCAGCGGCCGUGUGUUACCUUUCCUCGUCAGUUUUAAUCGAAUCCCGGCGAGGGAAGAACAAAAAAUUUGCGAAAGCAAAGUUACAGAUCUAACAUUGUUAGGUUGAUGUUUAGACGAGUUGUAUAUAUUUAUAUAUUUAUAUAUACCACUCGACCACCUUGGCUUCACAAUAUGUAUAUAUUAUUAUUAAUAAGACUUAUUUACAUUUAAGAUAAAGAGUUCUUAAUACUGUUCUAUGUAUAGAACUGACUAAAUCAAAUCUAGCCAAUUUAGAAUCGAUUCUAUGUGAAAGUUUGAUAUCAGAAGUUGAUAAGGAAAAAGAAAUAUAUUAAAAUAUUUAUAAUUAAACUUUAAUUUAUUCUAUGUCAACUGCAAAGGGAUUAUGUUGUAUUGCAAUUUUAAUUGUUUUGCACAGUAGCAAAUAUUACACACUUUUAAAAAGAGAAUGACAUAGGUUCAGAUAUUGUCAAGCAUUAAUGGGCAGGCUGGAAAAGAAGAAAUUGAUAAAUACAUUGUACUGUUAUGGGGGAGAAAGGGGGAUAGUCAUUUGGGGUGUAAUUAAUAUUUUUCGUUUAUCUUUUGAUAAAAUUGAUUUUGACAAGGGCGUGUGCGACGUUGAAAUGACACCAAAAGCUACACCAUGUUAUUUAUCAAAUGACAUAUUUACCUCAGUUUUUGUAGAAAUGGAAUUUGGCAAUAUGCCUUUAUUGACUUACAUAGGAAGACAUAUGUAAGAUAUCUUUAGAAAUGCCAAAAAAAAAAGGUGCAAGUAGUUAUUACAACAAAAAGGAAUGCUUAUCAAAACAAUCAUACUAAUUAACCAGAUAGGUAAAUACAGGUAGCUGAAACAAGUUCAUGUUUUUCAAGUUUUUGAAAAUCAUUACUGCAUUUGUACUUAAAUAAAUAUGGAUUUGUUAUCUUAAAAUGAAACAAAGUCAUGUGCAUAUUGUCAUAAAAUCCAGUUUGCUCAAAUUCUCUUUGGACUUCAAAGUUUAUUUUUCAACAUUUAUAUCUCGAUUUAUAUAGUUGUGUGUGCUGUAAUAUUCUCCCAUAUUACUUGAUGGAAUUUCUUGAAAUUUUGUAUCGCAUGUUAGUUAAUUUACUAUGUUUUAUUUUCUUCAGUUUUUUCAGAUAUUUUUCUUGUUUUUAAUAUUUCUCCCUUUUUGUCGAGCCUGCAACUUUAGUCGCAAAAGCGAUACAUAGCCAUCCUACAUUCCGUCGUAGUUGGUUGCGGUCUCCACAAAUAUUCAUUCUGUGGUAAAAGGUUUUAAAAUGAUAAUAACCUUCUCAAACUGUCAUUGAUUUCUGCAAAACUUGGAUAGAACCUUGUUUAUGAUCAAAAGCUAGUAUCUAGUUCUGUAUAGAACCUUUUAGAAUUUUCUAUAGUAGGGUUUCAUAGAAUAACAUUGUGAAGGUGAUUCGUUAUGGUCACAAAUCAUCAGAAUUCUUGUUACCCUAUUUUAUGGAUUUUCUUUAAACCUUGUAACGUUUCCAGCUUGGAAAUUAUCAAAUUUACUUAUAGAUUAAUUAAUUCUGAUGAUUUUUAAAGUUAAACAAAUUGUUCAAUUGAAAUCUUCGUAUAGUUUAUACUAACUUAUAAAAUAUUCAAAAUGAAAUGAAAUUGAAUAAACCGUUCAGACACUUGCAAAAAAUGUUACAGUAGAUUGUCUUUCAAAUACAGGUUUCUUGUCAGCAAGUCUUCAUUUUGCACCUAUUCCAGAUUUUCUUGUUUAGGGUCAAGGGUGUCUAUCAAAAUUAUAAUCAGGAGAAAUUGAAUGCAACUUUGGACCUAAAACCUUUGCUAAAGACAUCAAGGGAGAACUUUUUUCCCAAGAAAACAAAAUAUUCAAGAAGAUGAAUUACCGUAAGCCAAAAAGAAAUUGUCACGCAGAAAAGUCCCAAGGACUCCGCAGUUUAAGUAAAAUAAAUGGUAGCUAAAAUCUCAAAACUACUUUACUCCAAAGUAUGUUUAAGUUCAAUCAAUAUCUAAAAUUUAAAAUAAAUAAAAAAUGAAUCCAUAGAUCAAGGACAAUAUUUUUGUUUAGCCCUCCCCCUUUUUCCAAGAUCUGUUAGUUUUUGUUUUCUAUUAAUUACAGCUACGUAUUACACUUGGAAUUGAAAGUUUGUUUGAUCAUUUAAACAAAAACUAGACAGGCAGGGCAAUGCAUACCUCGUGCCUACUUAAGAGUUAAUUUUUACGCACGAAAAUAUAUAUAUAUAUCAGAUCCUUUGUCGAUGCUGGAAUAAUUGUUUAUGGUACAUCUUUGUUUUUUCCUGAAUUCACUUCAACAAUAGUUUUAAAAAAUAGGAAGUCAUUAAGUUAAUGAGAAAUUUAUCUAGAUUUUUUUUUCCAUACAUUUUAUUAAAUUAAAUUAGAUUAAGAAAUACAAGAAAGAAUACAAGGAAUAGAAAAUAAAUAUUCGUUUUUUCAUUAUCAAUCUUGUAUUUUUUUCUUAUUAUAAAUGUUAUCUGGACUAUUAUACUAUUAGUAUAAGACCCUGUUUACACUGGCAACGAAACUGAAUCGAUCUUUAUUUGAAUCGAUCUUAAAAAGACAAGGGCCGCGUUCGAUAAGAUCGAUCUUAUUUGAUCAGAUCUGACUAUUUGUCGAUCGUCGAUAAGCGUACGUCGAUCUAUGAUCGAUUUUUUUAGUCAAGUCCAGAUCGAUCUUUUUACAACCAAAGAUCAUCUUAUUUGUCAGUGUAAACGGGGUCUAAUAGUCCCAGAUUUUUUUUCAAAAUCAUCAUAUUUUUGACCAGAGAGAGCAGAAAAUACAAUGAAACCUGUGGAAGGACAGGGACAUACCAAUUAUACAAAACAAUUUCUGAUAAAAACAGUUUAACAUUGAGGUUUACUUAGUCAACAUACAUCUGGUUACAAUUAGUGAACCAUAGAGAAAGUGUGACCACAAAGUUUAUAUAUGUAACAGAUUACUGAUAACAUGCUGAGAUAAAACUGUAAAUUAUGUGUAAAAUCAGGGCUUAUGACUUAGAGUGAAAUAUAAAGUUCAAUGAAAAUCUUUAUUCUCCCUGCAACAUUGUUUUCUCUCACCAAUUUCAAACAAACCUACUAGUAAAUAGUUUUCAAAUAAGAUAUUAUCUUAAAUAUUCUUUUUAAAAAUAUAGACAGUGUUAGUAGAAAACAAAGAUUUUUAAACUGGUCUUUUAUUCCUGACUUUUAUUUUCUGAUUUGCCAUGCAUGCAGUGGCGGAUUUAGAAAUGUUCAUAAGGGGGAGGAUCACUGACUGCCGAAGAGGGGUACGCUGCAAUCAUGCCUCGGCAAUUCCCUGUUUGACCAACCAUUUUUGUUUUACCAAAAAUUGGGGGGGGGGGCCUGCCAACUUAAAAAAAAAACCUCUAAAUCCGCCUCUGGGCCAUGCAUGUGUCUAUUUUCUUAAGCACGAAGUAUAAAACAACGUGAUUCUGUCACAUGUAAAAUUAAAGUCUGUGUUCAGGGUAAAAUCAAAUUUUCAGGGACCUGAUUUUUUGCUUUCUGUCUUAUCAUGUUUUAUCAUAACAUACCGAAGGCUGUUGGUGAUCUUCGUUUGAAUUGUCUAACAAUUUAUUACAUUUUAUGGCUUUUGCUCAUUGUUGAAGGCCGUCUAUCAACUUGUUUGUUUAAUUUACCGUCGUUUGGUCUUUGGCAGAUAUUUGUGGUAUUUGAAAAUAAACAAUAUAUUUCUUAUUUCUAUAUUUUAGCCAUCCUUCAAUUAUGAAAUAUUAUGGGUGCUCGAUGAAAUACGAAAAGUAUCAAAAACACGACAUGAACAUUAUAAAGAUUGCAAAAAAGUUAGUAUUCAAUUUGGGCCUACCCAUAUAUCAUAUAUGAACCGCGCUGAAGUACGUCCAUUAUUCAUAGUUCACUAUUCACUAUUCAAUAUUAAAAAAUGAAUGAUGAAUAAUGAAAUGGUUUAUGUUUCAUUAUUCAAAUCGAAGCGGUGAAUAGUGAAAUAAAUAUAAAAAAUUUUUUGACUGUGACACUAUAGCUAUAUUUUGAUUCACAAUGACCAUAAGAGGGUUUACGGAGGACCUAAAUGCAACAACAUGCGUAAAAAUGAGGAAAUAUAAAAAAAGAAGAUGUGGUAUGAUUGCCAAUGAGAAAAAUAUCCACAAAAGACCAAAAUGACACAGACAUUAACAACUGUAGGUCACCGUACGGCCUUCAACAAUGAGCAAAGCCCAUACCGCAUAGUCAGCUAUUUAAGGCCCCGAUAAGACAUUGUAAAACAAUUCAAACGAGAAAACUAACGGCCUUAUUUAUGUAAAAUACUGAACGAAAAACAAAUAUGUAACACAUAAACAAACGACAACCACUAAAUUACAGGCUCCUGACUUGGGACAGACACAUACAUGUACAUAAAUAAUGUGACGGGGUUAAACAUGUUAGCCCAUUUUGAAUAAUGAAAUGGAUAUUUUGAAUUAUGGAAUGGACUGCUAUGACCCUUCAGCCCCUAAUUACAGAUAUAUAUUAUACCUCAAUCGAAAGCUUAUUAAAAGAGGAACAAAAGGUAUAUAGUCAAUAUGUUCUGCAACGGAUAUUACAGGAGUAACCAAGGACUUAAAUAUCGAAUUACGCGUGAACAUUGAAAAAUAGCCAAUUUUAAAUAAUGAAAUGAAUAUUUUGAAUAAUGGAAUGGACUGGCAGGACCCUUCAGCCCCUAAUAACAGAUAUAUAUUAUACCUCGAUCGAAAGCUUAUUAAGAGUGUUUCUCGUUUAUCGUUUUUUUUAUAUAUAUAGAUCAGACCUGGACCGUUGGUUUUUCCCGUUUGAAUGGUUUUACACCAGUAAUUUUUUAUCGACCUUUAUAUCUUGUUGUUGGGUGUGAGCAUAGGCCCCGUGUUGAAGACCGUACCUUGACCUAUAAUGGUUUACUUUUAUAAAUUGUGACUUGGAUGCAGAGUUGUCUCAUUGACACUCAUACCACAUCUUCCUAUCUACAUGUAUGUGGAUAUCUUUCAUAGAGUCUUGUAGCGAUCAUUUGUACUCGUGCAUGUGCAUGGUUAAGUAUAGGAAUCAAAAGGCGAUCGAGUUUGGUAGAGUCGAAUAUAGGUCAGGUUUGGAUUUAUUAAUGGUGGCAGUAGUCAGCCAGUGAUCAAGAAGUAUUGUUCGAAUAAAUCUAGAAAACAGAUAAAACGCAGAUUAAUGGCAUUGAGCUCCAAGCGUCGUAUAUAUUUAUUUAUCAAGUAAAAGUCAAGCUUAUCAAGUACUGACCAUUAAAAUAUGUAGGACAGAAAGUCCUUAGACAAAAAGUCACGGACAAAAAGUCACUUGGCAAAAUAGUCACAAUUUAGUUCUGAGAUUAGUUUUCUUUGAAAAAGAAAACACUUAAAAAAUAAUAAAUGUGUGAAUGGGCCAUAGAUAAUCCAAUAAUUAUAACAUUAAACAUUGUGAAUUUUUUCUCAAUAUUGCAAAAAACAUUGUUUUGAUUUUUAUCAAAGAAACAUCAGUUUGCUGGAUUGAAGCAAAUUUUAUGCAAACAAUUAUUAUUGUAUAUAAAGAUAUUUUUGUUAGAAAUCAAACUGGUAAGUUAAAAUAUAUAUAUACAGCAAGAUCAUAGAACGCAAGAUCUUUUUUUAUCGAGGACCUUGAAUUUCAAUAUUGUUGAAAGCUGAACAGACAUGUAUAUAACUACAACCAGGGAUUUUCUAAACUAGUAUAUACUUAGUAUAGAAAGUCCCUGCUACAACGAAUGGGAGUGUUUAACUACUAAGGCAUUGACCAUAAUGUUCUCGUACGAUUGGGUGACGUUGACCCAACAGCUGAUACAGCCGGUAACAAAUUUCCGAUAUUAUAAAAGAUUCACAAUACAAAGGGAACUUCCUCUACUUAAUUGAGCCCCUAAAUAAAUGUGAAUAGUUAAGUUUUAUUCAAAAUUGUCGAAAGCAUUGCUGCAAAGUUUCAUAUGUGUUCUCGAACGAAUACUGAAUAACAGACGGGCGGCCACAUGAUUUUUUUUAAAUACUGAAACGGUUCACUUUCGAUCAAAAAUCCGGAAAAUAACAGAUAUGUCACGUAUCAUGAUAACACUGUUAAAACUGUAAACUUGUGUUGUUUAUAAUAUAAAUUCCAGUUCUUCGUAUACAUAUUGUCAGUAUUUCAUUUUAUUACUUAAAAAAAAAAUUGGUGUAGAAAAUUCAGGGGAGGCAGUUGCCUCACCUGCUUCAUACAUGUAGGUAGUUACGGCCCUGGAAUUCUUUAACAGUCUUCCAACUAAGCCCUUCAGAGUGAAAAUUUCAUAUCUUCUCUCUAUUAUAAAAUGGUUAAGUAGAGAUAUAAAUAUGUCAUCCACUACUGAUUAGGGGACAGAUGAUAUUACAUAAAACAGAUAUUUAAAACAAAAACGUAGUGUGUAAAUUUUUGAUUAACCCUCAAGUUGAGAAACUACAAAAGUAAAAAGUAAAUAUUCUGAUUUAGUUUUACAUCUACACAUUACCUCAUCAGAUAUUAAAAAGAAAAAGCACAAGUUUUGAAUAAUGUAUUAUUUUUCAUAGUUUAAUAUGUUAUAUUUAAGCUUUGAAUCUUUAAUAUGGUAAAUUUCGGUAAAUUUCAACAGCUUAAUUAAGUUCAUUACAUAUACAUGAAUUUGAUGUUACUAAAAUGCUAUGAGAGCUCAACCACACCCUCUUAUUGCAUGUAUUGAUAGAUUGUCAAAAGAUGUUAAGAAAAAAAAAAGAAAAGAAUAUAAAAAGAACAAUUACAUGUAGGUCUUUUCUCAUCUAGGGGAUAGAUCCCAUUGAUACUAAAUGAUGCUUUUAUUUUUAUGGUAGGGGUGUGCCAUUCUGGCCUAAAAAAUGUACCAAUUUUAAUAUACAUGUUACAUAACGUUCAGCACCUAUAGACAGGAGCAGAUCCAGAACUUUUUGUAAAAAGGGGGGGGGGCUGACUGACCUAAUAGGGGUGCUCUACUCAUCAGUGAUUCCCUAAAUAAUAAACCAAAUGUUUUCCCAUGAAAAAGGGGGGAGGCAUUUGGAACUUAUUUUGAAGGUGAACUUUCUUAUUAAUUCAUAUAUUAGUUUAAUAUUAGUAUAAUAACAUUGACUAUUUAUAAUUUAAGAUUCUGAAUAGCAUAUUCUUAUGAAAUGAACAUACAUACCCAAUGUUAUCAACAUAAACAUUUUUAUAUUGUAUGUUAUAAAAAGGAGGGUUAUUUUUAUAUACAAACGGAUCGAUAACGAAGCCGUACAGUAACAUACAUGUAUAUAGAUACAUGUUCUGCGUGCUGUCAUUUGAAAGACAAUUUCUCUUUAUUUUCAAGGAAUCCCCAUUGCGAGUAAGAUUUUAUUGAAAUAUUAUUGUAUGAUGUUUAUAAAUAUCAAAAUAAAUAGGCAUUUCAAAAAAGUUAUUCCCAAAAGGCCGUUUAAUCUUGAAUUUAAUUUGUUCAUUUAUUUGGAGGUAGAUGUCAGCCAUUAAGACUCCAUAUACCUGCAGUGGCGAUCCAGAACUUUUCAUUAGGGGUUUGGGGCAAUGACUGACCUAAAGGAGGGGGGGGCGCUCUAGUCAUGCUUCAGUGAUUUCCUAUAUAAUCAACCCUUUUCUUCAGGAAAUGGGGGGGGCGACCCCGUCCCCCCCCCCUAACCCCACCCACCCGGAUCUGCUUAUAACCUGUCCCUUUUCUAAUGUAUAUUUUUGUUUAAACAUGAUAUAUAUGUCCAUGUAUAUUUCCAGAUAUUUAAGUACCAAAAUGGAGACCUACACCUAUAUAAUGAUCUGAUUUGCGCUACAUUGCCAUUCCCUCUUAAAACAUUUUUAAAACAAAGCUUAUCGACACUUGCAAAUUCCUACAGUCUAUUUUUGAUGUCAAAUGGGUGCAAAUUUACAAAUAAUGCCGGAAACAUCUGACACAUUUACAAAAUUUUAAUGUGGUUUUAACCGCAACACGAUAAAUACUACUAGCAUCAGACACUUAAUUAGAAAUAACCCUGACCGUUUUAAAUUUCCCACCCUUUUCAUAUAUCAAUGAAGCUUGAAAGACCUAUUCAAGCUAUCCCUAUAGCCUUCCCCUGGGAAUUAAUGCAUUAAGUUCCAUGAUAAGAAAAAUAUAUAGUAUGAGAAUAGGGAAUUUAACUAACGGAUCCAGAAAUGUUAUACGUGGGGGGCACACUGACUGCCUAAGAUAGGGGGGGGGGGGUGGUCCGCUCUGGUCAUGCUUCAGUGAUUCCCUAUAUAAUCAACCAAACUUCCCCUAGAAACCCGGGGGGCUCCCUGGUCCCCUCUAAAUCCGCCUCUGAAUUUGACACAUCCUCUUUUAUAAUUUUGACGACUCCUCUCCCAAAAACAACAGUUAAAGAUGCUUUUCGAGCAUCUGUACAAUAUUCAGUCCAGGCAAUUAUUGUUAUUCGUAAUAUUCCUCAAACUUGUAAUAUUACAACAAAUAGUAACAUUACAGCAUUGUGUAAAUUAAGGCCUAUAUUACAAAAAAGCGUAAUAAUCAAUAUUACGAAUAUCUGUAAUAUAGUUUUUCUAUAUUACGAAUAUUUGUAAUAUACGAUUAACCGGCUGUAUCGUAAAAUUCGACGUGUCUUACCAUGACAUAAAGUAGUCUUUCUAAAAGAUAUACAUACGGUAAUCAUUUUUACAUAAGCAGAAAAUUUAGUUUUAAAGUCGAAUUUUGUUUUUUUACAAAAUUAAUGAUUUUCUUACGAAAUUUCUAACUUACAUUUGAAGUUUGGACAAACUGGUCAUUCCCACAAUCUUAAAACUAAUUUCCUAUGAAAGAAUUACAUUUUUCCUUAACAGAAACGUUUUAUUUGUUGUGGUUUGAAUGCUAGUAUCACGUCGAAAAAUCUUUAAAGAAACAUGUGUAUCGAUUCCAAACCACAUUUCAGUGGAGAUAACUCUAGGUCGCUUAGAAGUGGCUGAAAAGUAAAAAUCGUUGUCUCCCUUAAAAUUGAUCUCGUGCACUUGAAAUUACAAUGUGUGUUAGUAGCUGUAUAAAAUUAGGACACAACUGAUGAACCAAAUUGAUUUCAAGUCUUUUUUGGAAUAAUUAAAAUAAUAUAACAUAUCACAGAAAAUGAAAUAGAGGUGCAUGACAUCUUGCACACGAGACGAAGACAAUCAUGUCCUAUGUAAUAAUAUAAAUUUAAAUUUUCCGCAAUAAAUGAUAUUAGGCAUCGACUUUUUUUUUUAUUAGGGUGGGAUAUUUUAUUUUUUAAAGAAUUGUUAAAAUAAAAGUUUCUAUAAUAUAAAACUUGUUUCAGAACGGAAAUAAGAAGGAAAAAAACUGUUUUAUAUUUAAAAAAAACUUAGAUGAGGGCCUUGAUUAGGAUCUUCAUAUCUGUAUUCUAGAAUUUGUGUCUAUUAUUCUCGCCCGUUGGUUGCCAGGACGUCUGCUGAUGCCUGCAUUUUCCCAUUGAUAGACCGCGACUUAAAUUUUAUUCUUUUAAUUUUAAUACUCGAUUUUUGAGAACAAAAAAAAAAUAUUUUGUCCUAUUAUAUAUUCUUUAAAUUUGGUCUAUUUUCCUCUUUUCGGUAAACCUGUUCUGAUCAUAAUUUAUUUAGAUAAGUGUUGUUCGUCACACUGAGACCCCAUCAUAAAGAAAAAACAAAACACACAAAUAAAAAAAAAACACACACACACACACACCGAAAUGAAUGGAAGUUGUCCGAGUCGAACCAAACAAAUAUUUUAGACACAAUCUACAGGCAUGCAGGUGUAAUAACUGAUAAUUUUGAUAAGAGGUUCUUACUUCCCAAGAAGCUACCUAUGUCAAACAAUAUUUAUUUCUGAUUACAGUAAUAUGAACAAUCGUUUUAGUUCAAAAUCCCACAAACCGAUUGAUUCAUCGAAGUUUUUACCACUGAGAAUUUUGUUCACACAUAAAUUAUACACAGUAUUUUUUUUUCUCAUAAAUGUUAUAUCAAAAGUAUAAUUUAGAUACUUAUAACGUCAGUCAAUCAUGCAAUGCUUCCAUCAGUCUUUAAAAGGAAAUAUAAAUGGCAGUACUGGAAUAUUAUUAGUUAUCUUGGUGUAAUCAGGGGUGUACAGAAUUUUACACCGUUGUUGAAAAUUCAUACACCCUGAGGCGCAGCCGAAUGGGUGUAUGAAUUUUCAACAACGGUGUAAAAUUCCGUACACCCCUGAUUACACCAAGAUAACGAAUUUAUUUCUUAUGAACAAUUCCUUUACUCAUUUUUAAACUGGAAUGUAAACUUGAAAAAUGCUAAUGAAAAAUUUCCAGUGUAACAUUUUUUUUCAACUUUGAUGUUGCUGCGCAUUUUCAAAGACUUUUUCUUUUUCUUUUUUCCAGAAAUUCAGAAAAAAAUUGGUCUAAUUUGAAUUUUCAGGAAAAAAAAAAUUUUAAAUUUAAAAAAAAAAUUAAAAAAAAAUUUUGUCCUCAAAUUUAUUUAUUUUUUAUAUUUUUUUUGUUUUUUUUUUACAUUUUAUUUUUUUUUAUUUUUUUUUACAUAUUAUUUUUUUUUCUUUAUUUUGGCAAAAUUUAAUUUUUUGGAAUUUUUGGCAAAAUUUUAUUUAUCCCGGGGUGAACAAGGGUGGGGUGUUAUUUACACCGGGGUAAUUAACCAAUCAGAUUGCAGGAUUUUUGCUACAUUAGAAAUAAAGUGUGUUACACGGUUGAAAGGGUAGAAAUUAUUUUUGGCAGAUUAUGACAAAUAAAAAAAAAUGAAAUAAAAGAGGACUUGACAAAACAAUAGACUAUUAUACUAUAGAAUAUAUAUUUUAGAUUAUAGAAGACUUUUAAAUUUUUUGUUUGCUUUCCAAUGACAAAGCCUUGAUCCCUCACCUUCAUUCUAUUCUUAGUAAUUUCUUACGUAUACGCCGCUAAUAUUUUCGUAACUUGAAUUUGUCCCUUUGUUUAUAAGCGGUGCUACCAAAAAGAAAGUUGAAGAUGCUGGCUGGUAAAUUGUUUUUAAAAGAUUGGAGACGUUGUAAAUUUUCUUUUAACAUGGUCAGCACUCGUUUACCCAGCUGUCAUUCUGUAUUAUUUCAUUAAGGUUUGGAGAAAAACUGUCAUAAAACAUUUAAGACACAACAAAAUAAGUAUUUGUAUUUAGAAUAAUUGUGUUCUAUUACAAAAUACGGAACAAAAAUAUUGAUUUGACGACUUCAAUAGCUUAUAUAAGUGUUUCUAUUAAUGAAUGUUUUUACAUAUUGUGUGUCGAGAAUGAUAUAUGAUUUGUUUUGAUUUUUGUUAACAAGACUUGUAAAGUUAAUCACCUCCCAUAAAAACCACACAAAAAAAAAACGAAACAAAAAGAAACAACGGCAUACCGUAAAACCUGAUAUGGUAAGAUGAUAGGGUAUGCGGUAUGGUACAAAUGCUACCAUGACGUGGUAAAAAUGUAUGUUACGAUGAUAUUGGGGUAUGGCAUGGUCAUAAAGAAUAUACUACAAUACCAAAGUAAAAUUAAAAAAAUUGUAUAUUAAGAAAGUUUUAGUAUAAACUAAACUCAUUUCAGAUCUCUAUAAUGUUGAUAGCAGAGAUUGAAAUUGAUAAUAACUUGUUGAAUCCAUAUUUCCUGUUAAACAAAAUCGAACAUCGGAAUGGUAAUAAACUGUGGCGGAUCAAAAAGAGGGGUUCGGGGAGUUGGAACCCCCUAUUUGUUUGACCGAUCAAUGCAUUUGAAGGGGGACAUAUAGUUGGAACACCCCCUUUUUUGCCCUGGGUUGGGACCCCAUCAUUUUCAAAUGGCUGAACCCGCCCCUGAUAAAUGUUGAAUUCGGUAUACUACCGUAUAUAUUCAUGAUUCACAAGGGUUCCUAUGAAGCUUAUAUUUAACAUAUUAUGUGCCCUAAAUAAGGUGCACAGAUAACUUUACAAAUGCACGGUGGUAUUUGUACCAUAUCAAUUGUGUAUACAUGCUACGAUUAGAUUUGUACCUUAUAACCAUUAUAUUGACGUUACAAUACCACAUAUCAUACCAUUAUACCAUACCAUGUUUUUCAGUAUGCCCCCAAAAAAUGCAUCAGACUGAUUAAUAAAAAGAACUGAUUAUCGCAGCUUCAUUUUGUCAUUCUAAAUACAUUUUGACACAUGUUUUGAAUUUGUGAUCACCUACUUACUUACAACAACAUAUAACAAGGUUAUUGCAAAACGAUAGAUUUCAAUAAUUUAGGAGGGGCUCUUCAGCAAAGCAACCUUAUGUUAUCGAUGCAAGAUAUAAAGUUUUAAAUAAUGACAUCUUGGUUUAAAUACAAUAUUGUUAAAAUAAUACACAUCAAUUAUAUCACUUGAUUCUCUUAGUUUUAGUUUGGUUCGUGUUGCUCAGUCUUGGGUUUUCUAUGUAUUUUGUUUGGCUGUGAGUCUUUUUUUUUCUUUUUUAGUCAUAGGGUAACGGUUGUCAGUUUAUUUUCGACUUUUUGAGUUUGUCUUUUUGGUGUCCUUCGCCUCUCUUUUAUAACUUAACUCGUGUGUUAUAUGUGUAUAUAACUGUAAUUUAUGUUAAUAUGUUUACUAGUUAACCCUUUAAGUUUUACUUUUAUCAAUCAUUAUAAAUUAUUGUUGUUUUUUUUUUAAUCCGAACUAAAAGAAAUAUUCAGACACUAGACUAGGUACAUGUAUAUCUGUGAUAAAAAUUGUGCUAUGCAAGAAGAAUAUUGAUUGAUUGAUUGAUGAUUGACAUUUAACACCACUUUCAACACUAUUGUGCUAUUUUGUGGCGAUCAGAUUUUAUUGGUGGAGAAAGCCGCAGUGCCCACCGAAAACCACCGACCUUCUGUAGGAAAACUGACAAUCCUAGUCAAUUAAGAUUGGAGUCGAGUGCACCUGCUCCGUGCGGGAUUCGAACUCACAACCUCANNNNNNNNNNNNNNNNNNNNNNNNNNNNNNNNNNNNNNNNNNNNNNNNNNNNNNNNNNNNNNNNNNNNNNNNNNNNNNNNNNNNNNNNNNNNNNNNNNNNNNNNNNNNNNNNNNNNNNNNNNNNNNNNNNNNNNNNNNNNNNNNNNNNNNNNNNNNNNNNNNNNNNNNNNNNNNNNNNNNNNNNNNNNNNNNNNNNNNNNNNNNNNNNNNNNNNNNNNNNNNNNNNNNNNNNNNNNNNNNNNNNNNNNNNNNNNNNNNNNNNNNNNNNNNNNNNNNNNNNNNNNNNNNNNNNNNNNNNNNNNNNNNNNNNNNNNNNNNNNNNNNNNNNNNNNNNNNNNNNNNNNNNNNNNNNNNNNNNNNNNNNNNNNNNNNNNNNNNNNNNNNNNNNNNNNNNNNNNNNNNNNNNNNNNNNNNNNNNNNNNNNNNNNNNNNNNNNNNNNNNNNNNNNNNNNNNNNNNNNNNNNNNNNNNNNNNNNNNNNNNNNNNNNNNNNNNNNNNNNNNNNNNNNNNNNNNNNNNNNNNNNNNNNNNNNNNNNNNNNNNNNNNNNNNNNNNNNNNNNNNNNNNNNNNNNNNNNNNNNNNNNNNNNNNNNNNNNNNNNNNNNNNNNNNNNNNNNNNNNNNNNNNNNNNNNNNNNNNNNNNNNNNNNNNNNNNNNNNNNNNNNNNNNNNNNNNNNNNNNNNNNNNNNNNNNNNNNNNNNNNNNNNNNNNNNNNNNNNNNNNNNNNNNNNNNNNNNNNNNNNNNNNNNNNNNNNNNNNNNNNNNNNNNNNNNNNNNNNNNNNNNNNNNNNNNNNNNNNNNNNNNNNNNNNNNNNNNNNNNNNNNNNNNNNNNNNNNNNNNNNNNNNNNNNNNNNNNNNNNNNNNNNNNNNNNNNNNNNNNNNNNNNNNNNNNNNNNNNNNNNNNNNNNNNNNNNNNNNNNNNNNNNNNNNNNNNNNNNNNNNNNNNNNNNNNNNNNNNNNNNNNNNNNNNNNNNNNNNNNNNNNNNNNNNNNNNNNNNNNUGAAAGCACCAAAAAUAAUAAGAAUUGAAUGUGUCCCUUGGAAACAUGAAAUGAAGUCUUUCCUAAGUAGUGGAAACACCAACAAAAAAAGUUUCCCCUGGAAACAAAAAAAAAAUGUUCCUCCUGGAAACACGAAAAAUAAUUAAAAUUAAAUGUAUCCCAUGAAAACAUGAAAUUGAUAUCUUUCCUAAGAGAAACCAAUACUAGGUGACAUAAUUGUAAAUUAACAAGUAGUUAAAAAAUAAUUACUAGACAACUCUGGAAAUGUUCCCCCUGCAAACACAUAAAAUAAAGAAUGAAAUGUGUUCCUUGGAAACAUGAAAAUUUUCUAAGAUAAACCCAUACUAGGAGGGGGGAAACAUUGACAGCAGUGGACAAAUUUUUAGACAAACCUGGAAACAUAACAAAAUGUUUCCUCUGGAAACACAAAAAAAAAAAUGUUUCCACAAGAAACACAAAAAAAUGACCCCCCCCCCCCCCCCCUAGUAAUAUUAUGAAAUGUUCAUAGUUUAUACCAUAUAUCUAAUAAAUAUAUUCAAACAUAAUAAAUAUAUUCAAACAUGAGGAUAAAAUGUUUGGAAAAUUGUCCUGACGGACAGAAUGACAAACUAGUGAAUGCAAACUUGUUUGACAUAAACAAUGUUUCCCCUACUAUAUACUAGAAUAAUUAAGAAAAUAAUUAAUCAAUCUAUGAAAAAUGAAUAUGACCCCUUUUCUUAAAAUUUAAACAUUAUUAAUAAAUUACCUAUGAUUUGUGUUACGUUAUGUAAUCAGUAUACAGUGUCUGCGAAAAUAGAAGUACGGUGGACUAUUUUGUGCGUAUGGUUUUCCAUCGGCUACCGGGUUUUUUAAAAUUACAUUGUUUCCCCCGGGGAAAUUGUUUCUCAGGGAAAUAAAUUGACUAGAACUUUAGUCAGCUAUUAGUGCAGUAUUGCGGAGCAUGUAUGGAACGGAUAUGAACUCUGCGCCGGAGAUUGAGAGGAAGAAAUAAUUAAACCGUUACAGCGGGAAGGCAGCUACUGCAACCAUGAAGAACAUUUAUCAAUUUAAUUUAGAUCGUUUGAUUUCUGUGUAUGUGUAUGUUUCUCGUUCGUCUUUAAUAGGUCGACUCGUGUGAGUUUAAAAAAAAGAGAAAACUCUCCGAUUAUUUUAAAUGUUUGGCGGGAAAAUAUGUAUACCAUCCGGGAUUUUCCAGAGAUUACUUUAGCUAACUUCCGGUGUAAACAAACCGUAGUAAAAAAAUGUAAGAAACAGUUUGUCUGCCCAAUUAGCUAAUCAAUUGACCAGUACUUGCAAAAUUCGUGUAAACAAGUAUGUUGUCAAAUUUUUAAGCCCUGAUGAAAUUAUCUUUCCACAAGCAUUGACUGAAGGCCUGACUUUUGUCGCUCGAAUUUGGAAAAAAGACUAAACAGUAAACUGUAAACACCCACUCUUUGAUUACGAGUACUUACAAAACACAUGCAGAUCGCCAAAUGCAGAUACAUGAUUUUGAAAAAAUGAAACCUUUACAGAGGGAGGUCUCCCACAGCUUUGACAGCUGAGGUAGAGAUUUUGCGAACAUUAUAUUCAAGUAAAAAUAUUUUUUUUGUAAAAUUGCAUCAAAAAGUAUGUGUGAAAAUAAAGGGUUUCUAAACUGGCUCUAAAAUAUGGACAGUCACACAGAAAAUAGCCCAUAAAUCAUGUAUAAAAUCAUCUUGAUGUUCCUUUAGCUACAUUAUCCCACCAUAAAGGCUUAAUUAGUCAUCAGUUGUUUAAAGAUUUAAAUAUUUUGGCCAAGAGCAUCACCAUGAUCACUGAAAAGACAUUGAUUAUCAAAAUGCAUUUGGUGCAGACAAAAUGAUACUGUAUUAUGUUAUUUACAAAAAAGAAAUAUGAUGGACAUGAACCACAAACAAACAACAACUGAUCUGCAGAUUCCUGACUUUGGACAGGCAUACAUGUAUAAAGAAUGUGGCAGGCUUAAAAAUGUUUGCUGGUUCCAAGCUCUCCCCUAACCUUGGACAUUGGUGUAACAGUUGAUCAUGAAAACAAACUAUGAAAUUUAGUUGAAAAGGCCUCAACUCUUCAGAUCAAUUCAAAACAGAAACAAACUUAACAAAAACACUGAACUCCUAUAACAAUAUUUUAACAAUUCAUUCAAAAGUUCUUGAAGUACUCUGGUAAUUUUUCAAAUAAAACAGUGUCAACCUUAAAAAGAAUAAGAUACAAAUGACUGAGAAUGUUAACUUAUUCACAGUAAGUUCAUUAAUUUAAAACCAUUAAUCAUCAAUAUUUUGUAUGACUUUAUUUUAAAAUCUUUGCAACAAUCAUUCUACAUAAAUAUGCAUGUAGAUUGCAAAAAUGUCCUUUAAACCCUAAUAAGGAGGCAUCAGUAUAAAGAAACUUUUGUGCAUCUAUUUUUGUAUCAGAAUUCUUUUAGGAUAUUACCCAAGAAAAUCAUGAACUUUGUCAUUUCUUAAUUUUUGGCUACCAGCUCUCAAUAUCUAUCAAAAACUCCUCAAAAAUUAGAAUUUAUUGAAACUUUCUCAUAGACAUAUAUAUAUACAUAUAUACAUUUUGUAAUGUCAUAGGGCAUAUUGACAGUUAUGUAGCAGUAGGUUAUGGUUUUGGUCCAUGUAUCAAGUCUCAUCGGACCAAAGACUUGUAAUGAGUUCUGUUUCUUUUCCACUAAGCAUUUUACGUUUAAGAGUAAAAACUUGAAAGUUUGAAAUCAAAAUAAUAUGUCCGGAUGGGGUUAGUUUAAUAUUGAUGUUCAAUGUGAUUGUUUAGAAUUAAAACAGCAUAUCUCAUGAUUUUGUUUUUGCCAACCAUCCAAUUUUAGAUGAUAUGUACACCUCCAUUUUAAUUUGAUUAUUUUUAAACAGUGUAAUCAAUCAUUUAUAGGUAGUCUGUGUUUACAUAUAUUGUAUGGUGUUGACAACCAAGGAUGAGUUCUACAGAUAAGAGAUAUGCUACAAGCAUCGACCUUCCAACAGAGGAUGUGUUUAGAAAUUUACAGAAUGCCUGUCACUUUGCUGUUGAUAUUGGUAAUACAUGUAUAAAUGUAUAUCAAAUGUAUAGGUCUGAAUCACUUAAAAUACUGGACAUUGCAACAGACCUCAUCAACCAUUAACAUAUGACUCCUUUAGAAAAACCAAAGUCUGAACAACAAAGAACAAUGCAUGGUUCGACUUGGUACAUUUACAAAUUGUGAUGGGAUUAAUUCAUUUACCUAUCUACAAAUGUAGUCACAUGUUGUAUGUAAUAUAAACGAUGCACAGCUCAGCUACCAAGAGAAUGGCCACUAACUUGAACAAGGAAAUAAUAAACAACACAUAAUUUUGAAAGCAGUGUGCACACUCACAGAUAAAUAGAUAUGGAAGUUUCAAUAAAGGAAAGAAAAAAAUUAAUAGCAAUGAUAAAUUAAUGAAAAAGUAGGGUGAGAAAUACGGCAGCAGUCCUUUUGCGCCAAUUACUGUUUAUCAGGGUUAUCAUUUGCGCCAAAUUUUGUUUUCCAAAUGUAUCAAUUGCGCCAAUUUUUUGGAACUCAUUUGCGCUAAUUUACCUGUACACAUAUCUAUAAAUAUUAAUAAUUGAUAUGUAUUUAUUCUUAUCUUGGCUUAAAAAGUAUCAUAUGUUUGGAGAUAUUUCACCAAGAAGAUGAGCAUCUGGAGAGAAAUUACUUAAAAUGCAUUAGACAGUCAAUGUACAGAGAGAGAAUAAAACUUACUGCUUCCUUCAAUGUUUGUGUUUUUGGACAAUAAAGUGGAGUUACAAGCUACUUCAUACAUUAAAUUGGGGAGUACCCAUGCAGCAGCAGUAAGAAAAAAAGUUGUGGAGCAAAAGGACGCAUUUUUGGCGCAAACUGAUCUAUCCCAGAAAUACAAAUGUACUUCCAAUCUUUUAUUAAAAUCAGAAACAUUAUAUUCUAAAUCAGAUGCAGACAACUGUUAACUUUUGACAAUAUUCAAAAUAUGAAAAAAGAAAAUGUGGUAUGAUUGCCAAUAAGACUACUCUCCACAAGAGACCAAAUGACACAGUAAUUAACAACUAUAGGUCACCUUCAACUAUAGGUCACCUUGAACAAUGAGCAAAUCCCAUACCGCAUAGUCGGCUAUAAAAAUCCCAGAAUUCACAAAUGUAAAACCAUUCAAAUGAGAAAACUAACAGCCUAACUGAUCUAUAGACAAGAAAAAAAUGAACAAAAAACAGAUAUGUAACACAGCAACAAACGACAAUGACUGAAUAUCAUGUUAUUUUUGCCAUUCUAUCAACCCACUAUCAUGACUAUUGAUUGAAUGUUAUUUGCUUAUAAUCCAGAUUUUAAAUCAUGUUUAUUUUUCAACAUUACAUCAAAAUAAUUACUUUAUGAAGUGAAUGAGAGCAGUUCAAUAAGAAGAAAAAAAUGUAAUAGUCAAUGUGAAUGGAGAAACAUUCUGAAAUAUCUUUGUUUUUCCAAUGUAUGAUAACAACGACAUUAGUGUUAUAUUUCUGUAACAUAUUGCUAUUUUUAUAUUAUUUAGUAACAUAUUGUUAUUUUUUAUUUCUGUAACAUAUAUGUUAUUUUGUAUUUCUGUAACAUAUUUUCAUUAUAUGUUAUUUAAUAUUUAUGUAACAUGUUAUUUUAUAUUUCUGUAACAUAUGUUAUGUUAUAUUUCUGUAACAUAUAUUAUGUUAUAUUUCUGUAACAUAUUGUUAUUUUUAUAUUUUCCGUAACCUAUUUUCAUUUUUAUAUUUUCACAGGUGGAUCCCUGGUAAAAGUUGCAUACUGCUCCAAACUCCACAGGAGGACAUCACAUGUUCGUGAUCAUGUGAGUGCAAACUGGUUCAUAAAUAAAUUUCCUUGUACUUUAAGUAUAUUAUUCACUAUGACAUUAGAAGAUGUGGAAUGAUUGAUAAUGUAACACCGCUCUACCAAAACAAAUGUCUCAAAAGUUAGCAACUAUAGGUUACUUUAAAGCCUUAACAAUGAUCAAAACACAUAAGCUGUAAAAGGUUUAAAUGACAAAUGUUUUACCCAUAGAGCUGAUUUUUUAAGAAAAAUUCUAUAUAAAGUUAUUUUAAAUAUCAAUGGUAGCAUGGACUACUGAAGUUUUUAUAAAAUUUUACAUGAUUAAAUGACAUAGAUUUUAGAAAAUCAUCACACAUGACUUUAAUAUUUAUGUUACACAUGUUUUAAAUGAUUGAUUAUUGCAAUUUUAUCAGGAAAAUAUAUAAUUGUUUUGGAUGAUGAAGACAGCACAUAAUUUGGGAAGCAGGGACCUGUUUAAUUACCAAAUGCAAAAAAAGUCAUUGCACCGUUAUCAUAUUAGACAUAUUUAAACUGUUAGAAAAUUAGAAAAGUUGUUGCUCAUAGAAUUGCAGUCAUCGAUACAACCAUAAAAGAGACAUACAAAUUUCUCAAUAAAAAUACAUUUUAACAAAAUAUCAAACUUAUUUUAGGAUUACCAUAUUUGAGCUGUUUUAACUGAAAUUUUUCUUACUUUAGAAGGAAGACAAUAAUAGUAUUUAUCAAAUUUUGGAAGAAGAUGGAUAUACAAGAAGAUUACAUUUUAUCAAGUUUGAGACAAAGUAUUUACACCAAUGUUUGGAUUUUAUUCGAGGACAUCUUAUGCAGUCAAAAGAAUUUAUGUUGGAGAAGAAAAACAUCAAAGCUACAGGGGGAGGGGCACAUAAGUACAAGGAUCAAAUUAUAAAGACCCUAGGUGUUCAGUGAGUAUUUAUUUUAAAUAAGUCUUCAGGUAUUUGAAUUUAGCAUUUUAUAUCCACUAAGCAUGGACAAAGUUUGUAAAAGAGAAUCAUCAAUCAUAUUCAGCUUUUGUCUUUAGGGUGUGGAUCACAACAGAACACACCUACAAAGUUUCUAGACAUCUAUUCUACAUGACCUAAGUUGCCAUGGCAUUGUGAAUUUGUUUUCUAAUUAUGGAUGUAAUUACCCCUUUGGUAUCCUUCUCCUCACUUGUAGCAAUUGCAAGAGAACCUAUAUUUUGUAGCUAUUGUAAGAGAACCUAUAUUUUGUUGCUAUUGCAAGAGAACCUAUAUUUUGUAGCUAUUGUAAGAGAACCUAUAUUUUGUAGCUAUUGCAAGAGAACCUAUAUUUUUUAGCUAUUGCAAGAGAACCUAUAUUUUUUAGCAAUUGCAAGAGAACCUAUAUUUUGUAGCUAUUGCAAGAGAACCUUUAUUUUGUAGCUAUUGCAAGAGAACCUAUAUUUUGUAGCUAUUGCAAGAGAACCUAUAUUUUGUAGCAAUUGUAAGAGAACCUAUAUUUUGUAGCAAUUGCAAGAGAACCUAUAUUUUGUAGCUAUUGCAAGAGAACCUAUAUUUUGUAGCUAUUGCAAGAGAACCUAUAUUUUGUAGCUAUUGUAAGAGAACCUAUAUUUUGUAGCUAUUGCAAGAGAACCUAUAUUUUGUAGCUAUUGCAAGAGAACCUAUAUUUUUAAGCAAUUGCAAGAGAACCUAUAUUUUGUAGCUAUUGCAAGAGAACCUUGUUUUGUGCUCUUUUGUCUUUUUGACAUAUUCCCCAUUUCAUUCUCAAAUUUAGGUUACUUAUAAUUUAAAUUAUAUGUUUAAGGCAAUAUUUUUAUGUCACUUUCAUAUAAACCUAGUAUAUUUAUCACAGGUUAGACAAGGAAGAUGAAAUGGAAUGCUUGAUUAAUGGAAGCAACUUUCUGUUGAAGAAUAUUCCUGAUGAGGCAUUCAUAUACCAAAGACAUGGCCAGCCAGAGUAUCAAUUUCAAGGAAUACAUCAUGAUAUUUUCCCCUAUCUUCUUGUAAACAUAGGAUCAGGUGUCAGUUUUGUAAAGGUAAAAUAUACUUUUCAUUCAGGAAUUAUUGCAUGCAUUUAUGACUGUGACUUUUGAAAAUUGGACACAAUGUUAGAUUAUUUUUUUUUUGAUUUCUGCAAAAUCUGCAUAAGAGACAAUUUCUGAAAAAGUCUAAUUUCCUUGUCCCGUCUUUCACCAGCAAUUAUUUUUUUAUUCAGACAUCUUUUUGGAAAAUUUUAAGUUUUAGUAUUAACUAGAGUAUAUAUUGCACCAACUGCACCAAAUUAAACAUUCUCUUUAAGAUUGCUUCUUAUAAAAAAUUAUAGUUUAAAGGGUCAACCCCCCAAAACAUGUUGUCCCCUGUUAUUUUCUGAAAAUUAAAUAAUUCAAAGAAUAUCUAAAAUAAGUUAACAGCCUUUCGAUUUUCACAAAUAUGUUAGCUUAUAUAAAACACUUCUCCAUUACGAGUCUGAUUUUGUUAUAACUAAAGCAUGUAAGAAAAUGUUGCAAUUUUAAGGGUAUUUUAAAUGUUGUCCCCAGGGGGUAGUUUCUUUCCUGUUACUGCUGGUUUUUGGAAAAUGACGCUUCAGUGGCAUUGUUCCGAUACCAUUGACCAGAACAACAGGAAGUCGAUUAUUGCCUCCAUGUACCGCACUCGGUUUCAUAUUUACUAUUUUACAAACUAACUGGUAUCUGCUUGUAUUCCGCUACACUCGAACAAAGUGUGCCGGUUUGACUAGAAUUCUUUGAAAUUACCUGAGUUUAAUUAGACCUUUGAUAACAGUAACAAAAAGAUUAUUAACCUAAAAUUUUGUGGGGAGAAGGGGGUUCGGACUAUGUACUAGUGAGAAAUAUACAAGCCUUUCUACGGUAUUUAUUUGUACAAUCCAGGUAGUCUUGACCUAUUCAUUUGUCAUCUUCACUUCACACACACAACAUAUACAAAUAUCAGUUAUAUGCUUACGAGACAUGUUGCAUUGUUAAACUAAUUACGGUAUGUGAAAAUCAAGACUUGCAUAAAAAAUAUCCCAAUAUUAGAGACAGUGGCAUCAUUUUUCCUCACAGCUUUUAGCUAUUUGAUUUUCCACCUGUGGACAAGUUUGAAAGACCAAAGUUUUAUUCAUUUUAAUGCAAUGUGAAGAGCAUCAUUUCUUGAAUGUAUGACUCCUCAUGUUUAGGUGAAUAGCAGCCAGUUUGAAAAAUCUGAACUCCCCAAGGAUUAGAAUUUGGAGAAAAAUUAUUUUGUUGUUCUCUCCUGUUACAACCUUUUUGUGUACCUUCUGAGAAUAUUUCAUUGUCAGCACUAUAACAGUACAUUUGUUUUUAUAGUAUCUUAUCAAAUUGAUAUGCAGAUGGAAGUAAACUUCUACACUAUUCGAGAAAAUUAACAAAAAGUACUGCAUAAUUCCUUAUUGUUACGUUCUGUCAUGUUACUUGAUAAAAAGUAACAGCAUAACCAUAAUCAGUAACAGGAAGGAUGUUCAAGACAAUUUAACAGAUGAAUCAAAAAGUUAAUCUACUAUAUGCCAACCAUUUCAUUUAAUAUAAGUUAUCAUCACCAUAUUAUAUAAAUUUCAAAAUAAUAUACAGGUAUAUUGAAUGAAAAAAAUAGGUUUUUUGCUUUUGAUAACAGCAGAGAACAUUGUGCAAUUCUAGUAUGGUAGAUAGUAACAGAAAGGAAUUUAUUUUAGAAUUUUUCAUUACCUAGGAAGAUUAAUAAAGUUUCAAAGGAUAAAUGACAUUGUUUGCUGUUAUCUUCCAAUUGUGACCAAUCUGAAAUCAUGUAUUUUUCUUAAACUAUAGAUUACUUUUUUUUUGAGAAAGAAAUCCUUUCUGUUAACAACUCUUUCCCCGUUGUCCUGUUACCGUUGUCCUGUUACUCAAAAGUCUUUCAUGUUACCAACAUAUCUGACUAUAUUUUAGUAUAUUUCUAAACCUUUCGUAUUGCAAAUGCUAAAAUCAAUAAUUGGCACUUAUUCCCAUUAGAAGUCUUUUAAAACUGAUUCACUUUGGUAACAGAAAGAACUGGAUUUUUUUUGUACCAUUUUUAGAAUUGCCAUUGUUUCCACAUUAAACAAUUUUGCUUAAAAUUAUAGACAGCAGUUCCUAGAUCCUAAAUGUGUGUUCUUCGAUUUGUGCUAUUAAAAUACCGGGUGUAAAGACAUUUUUUUUGUUUUUCUUAUUGCCAAAAAUUAGACUUUUUCAGAUAUUGUCUCAUACAUAUAGAUGUAUCAGAUAUCAGAACAUAAGCUAUUAUUGUAACCCAUCACAUUUUUGGCAUUAAUUAAUAUAAAGGAACUUAUGAUAAUAUCAGAAUUUACAGUAGGUAAAAUAGAGAGUCUGUCUGUUUGUUUAUUUAUUCACUCCUUCAUUUUAGUGAUAUUCUUAACAGACUUUUACCAGCAAUAAAUGUCAAUAUUGGUAAAUAUGACCCUUUUAAAAAACCCUGUGUAGGAAACUCAAUUGCAACUUGACCCUAUGUUAUUUUUGCAGGUAGAAUCAGAGACAAAAUAUGAAAGAAUUGGAGGGACAUCUACUGGAGGGGGGACAUUCUGGGGACUUGGAUCUCUUCUUACAAAAGCCAAGGUAAGCAACCAGCAUUGUAGUGCUGACUUUGACCAUGACGACAUUUAUUGACAUGAUAAGUAUUUACAGACUAUGUGGUGUUGUAAGUCUUACAAAUACAUACUUUAUACUAUCAGGUAGAGACAUCACACUUAAACCAUCAGAUAAAGUACAUGCUAAUAAACUUGGGGAUUUAGAUCAAGUUAAGAUCAAUUCUCUACCAAUCUUUUAAUUGCUCUGUCAUCUAGAUGGUAGGUGUUGACCAUCUAUGGCUGAAUGUAGUUCACAAUGAUAAAGAAUAAAAAUUAAUUGAUGGUAGCUGUUAUAUUGGAGUUACAUGAAAAAAUGAUGUUUGCAUAUGCUUAGAAAGUAGUUUCAGUAACAAGGACUGUAGAAUUGUAAUUUAAGGGGGGGGGGGAAUCUAAUGGACCAAUAAAUUUCAAGUAUUUGUAGAUAUGCAAAACAUAUUAGAAUUAUAAAUCAGAAAACAGUUUGUUUUUAACACUUGCAUAAUAAUUAUGGCAUUUUGAAGACUAAUCUUGUUCAGAGAAUAACAAAAUGUCUUGUAUGAUAUAAAAUUUGAUUUAUUGUAGACAUUUGAUGAUUUGUUAGAAUUGGCUGAGAAAGGAGACCACAAGAAGGUUGAUAUGUUAGUUAGAGAUAUUUACGGAGGAGAAUAUUCUACGAUAGGGUUAACAGGGGAUAUUAUAGCCAGUAGCUUUGGUAAAGCUGCUAGAACUGACAAAGAAAAUGGUAUGAUUCAUAAUAAAUGUAAAAUAUAGAUUUUUAUCGAGUAUUGAUAAUAAAGAUUUUACACAAAUGGGGAAAAAAAUAAUAGAAUAUGGAAUUAGGUCUAUGAAUAGAUAUAUCGAAAAAAAAAAAACAUGAUCCAGUCCAUACUGAAACUGAAACAAAAAACUGAUAAAACUGAAGUAUUUGUACCAGUAUUCAUUUUAUGGUUUCUAGUUUAAGUAGAUAACAUUUAGAAUGGAAAUAGGGAAUGUGUAAAUGAGACAACAACCCGACCGAAGAGCAGACAACAGCUGAAGGCCACCAAUGGGUCUUCAAUGCAGCAAGAAAUUCCAUCACUUAUAGGCGUGCUGCAGAUGGCCCCAUUACAAAAAUGUAUACUAGUUCAGUGAUAAGAGAUGUCAUACUAAACUCUGAAAUAUACACAAGAAACUAAAAUUAAAAAUCAAAGAAGACAGACAAAGGCCAGAGGCUCCUGACUUGGGACAUAUUUGAUAACCUCUCAAUGGAAAAUUUUUAUGCACAAAUAUAGAAUUUGACAAUAUAUUUUUGAAGUCUGAAACUGUGGCACUUUACUGUAACGCUGGACAUGUAAAGAAAUUUAUUAGCUGUUUGUAAUUUUGCAGUGCCUUGUUAUAAAGAUGAAGAUGUAGCCAGAAGUUUAUUGUUGUCCAUUAGUAAUGAUAUAGGACAGUUAGCUUCCCUGUACUGUAGACUUCAUCAGUUAAAGAAGAUUUACUUUGGUGGUUACUUCAUCAGGGGGCAUCCCCUUACUAUGCAUACUAUUAGUUUUGCUAUUAACUUUUGGUCAAAGGUAUACUAUCAUUGUAAUGUCAAUAUAUUUUAAAUCAUUGUUAUUUUAGUAUGGUUAUUUUGAAGUAUCUUUUCUUGUAUUAUUGCUAACAAAUUAGGAACAGAUGCAUCAAUUUUAUGCCCAUGCCUCUAAGCAGAGAGGAUGUUAAGGUUUAUCCUUAUCAGUCUCUAUUUCAGUACUUAUGUAUGUCCCAAAAUUAAUUUCUAUUCUCUAACUGCAGUUUGCCUCAUCCAAAUGUAAUGAACCGUAUAAACAAUGCUUAUAAUGUUCUAAACGGAGAUCAAAGUGUUGUAAUUGACCAUUCUAGGGUUGUAUUCCUUUAUAAAUGGAAUACUUGCUGACUUUGUUCUUCCAAUUCUUGAACCAAUGCAUACAAACAUCACAAACUUAGUCUUCAAUGUCAUAUAACCUUUGUUUCAACUUAGAAAAUGCUCCAAAACAACUUAUUUAGAUUAUUUUUGUUGACACUUUAAAGUUCUUAGCUUCAAGUUUAUCUUUUGGUCUUUAAUAUGCUAUGCCUAUAAGUCAUAAGAAACCUCAAAUGAAAAAAAAUAAUGCAUAUGUUUUUUUAUAACACAAUGGAUAGUUUUUGUCGAGCCUGCAACUUUUGUUGCAGAAAGAUCGACAUAGGUAUAGUGAUGCGGCGGCGGUGUUAGCUCACUUCUUAAAAGCUAUAUAUUUUAGAAGGUGGAAGACCUGGAUGCUUCAUAUUUUGUAUAUAGAUGCCUCAUGUUACAAAGUUUCCGUCAGUCACAUGUCCAUUGUCCUUGACCUCAUUUUCAUGGUUCAGUGACCACUUGAAAAAAAAGUUCAGAUUUUUUGUAAUGUUAAAUUCUCUCUUACUGUAAGUAAUAGGAUAACUAUAUUUAGUAUGUGCGUACCUUGCAAGGUCCUCAUGCCCGUCAGACAGUUUUCACUUGACCUCGACCUCAUUUCAUGGAUCAGUUAACAAGGUUAAGUUUUGGUGGUCAAGUCCAUAUCUCAGAUACUGUAAGCAAUAGGUUAGUGUAAUUCGGUGUAUGAAGAUGUAGGUGUACAUGUCAACUGGCAGGUGUCAUCUGACCUUGACCUCAUUUUCAUGGUUCAAUGAUUAUAGUUAAGUUUUUGUGUUUUGGUCUGUUUUUCUCAUACUUUAUGCAAUAGGUUUACUAUAUUUGUUGUAUGGAAUGAUUGUAAGGUGUACAUGUCUAGCGGCAGAUGUCACUGAUUGACCUCAUUUUCAUGGUUCAGUGUUAUAGUUAAGUUUUUGUGUUUUGGUCUGUUUUCUCAUACUUUAUGCAAUAGGUUACUAUAGUUGUUGUAUGGAUGAUUGUAAGGUGUACAUGUCUAGCGGGCAGAUGUCAUCUGACCUUGACCUCAUUUCAUUCAGUGGUCAAGUUAAGUUUUUGAGUUUUGGUCUUUUUAUCUAAUACUAUAUGUCAUAGGUCAACUAUAUUUGGUGUAUGGAAAUAUUUUAUGAUCUAUAUGUCAGUCGUGCAGGUUUUAUUGUCGAGCCUGCAACUUUUGUUGCAGAAAGCUCGACAUAGGGAUAGUAAUCCGGCGGCGGCGUUAGCUAACUUCUUAAAAGGUUUAUAUUUUCGAAGGUGAAAGAUGGAUGCUUCAUACUUUGUAUAUAGAUGCUCAUGUAACAAAGUUUCUCAGUCAAUGUCCAUUGUCCUUGACCUCAUUUUCAUGAUUAAGUGACCACUUGAAAAAAAAAGUUCAGAAUUUUUGUAAUGUUGAAUUCUCUCUUACUAUAAGUAAUAGGAUAACUGUAUUUGGUAGUUGCGUACCUUGCAAGUUUUCACUUGACCUCAACCUCAUUUCAUGGAUCAGUUAACAAGGUUAAGUUUUGGUUGUCAAGUCCAUAUCUCAGAUACUAUAAGCAAUAGGGCUAGUAUAUUUGGUGUAUGGAAGGACUCGAAGGUGUACAUGUCCAACUGGCAGGUGUCAUCUGACUUGACUCAUUUUCAUGGUUCAGUGGUUAUAGUUAAGUUUUAGUGUUUUGGUCUGUUUUUUCUCAUAUUAUAUGCAAGGUCAACAUAUUUGGUGUAUUGAAAUUAUUAUGAUCUAUAUUCAGUCCGCAGGUUUUAUUUGACCAUGACCUCAAUUGCACGGUUCAUUGGACAGUGUUAAGUUUUUGUGUUUUGGUCUAUUUUUCUUAAACUAUAAGUAAUCAGGUCAACUAUAUAAGUUGUAUGGAAGGAUUGUUAGCUGUACAUGUCUGCCUGGCAUGGUUCAUCUGACCUUGACCUCAUUUUCUGGUUCAUUGUCUUUGUUUAACUAUCUUUUUAAUGUAAGUUUAUGUGACAGUUGUAAUAACGCUUUAUACUUAGGACUAUCAACAUAAUAUCAAUGAUUAGUAAAGAAGGCGAGACAUUUCAGUGUGUGCACUCUUGUCAUUAUAAAACUUAUGUACAUAUACUUUUUUCUGAAGAAAAUUCUUUAAUUUAUUCAUAUUUAGAAGAAGUUUACUUUAUUUUAAUGGAAGGAAGCAAUUCCCCCGAUAUAUUUUCCGUAUGCAAAGUGACCUCAGUGUGACCCAUCUCGUAAAAAUCCGGUGAUGACAAUACGCACGGAUGUCCUUAAAAUAAACUUUUAACUGAAUUUACAUGUUAAACACGUGCUCAAUUUCCAUGCUUUUUUGUUGAUUUUUUGUCGAUUGUUGACAAACAGGUGACAAUCGUUAAACCUUGGCUUCAAAACACGAACUUUAAUUACCUGCCAUAUUUUCACAACAACACUGACCGAUUGAAAAAAAAUUGACAAUUAUACGAAAUUUACACGAAAAAAAUGAUAAAUUCGUGCACAGAAGUUUGUGAUGUUUGUAUGCAUUGGUUCAAGAAUUAGGAAGAACAUUAUUUUUCACCGGUCACUCGUUUCUUAUGACUUUAAAAGAAUAGUUGGUAAAAUUUACCAGUUGAAUUUUUUAUUUGCAUUUUGUUUUAAAACAUGUUCAAAACAGGGAACAUUAUUUGCUUCAGAUAUAAACUGUAGUUUAAAUAAAAUUGUGCAAUUUAAGAGUUGAAUUGAGCUCAUUUCAUUUUCAUAGUGCUUUUUUCUUAUAAAGACCUACAGUUAAUGCAGUUGUCAGAAAUAGUGCUUUAUUAAUGUUCUUGUUUGUCCAAGCCAUACCGAUAUGAAAUUAUUCAAACUACUCUUCCAAUCUUUCCAUGAGUGAUUUCCAUCACUUUGAUUACUUUGUUUCAUGUAUUUUCCUUCUUUUGUGGAAUGAUAAAAUUGAAAAUUGAAAUGGGGAAUGUGUCAAAGAGACAACAACCCAACCAAAGAGCAGACAACAGCCAAAGACCACCAAUGGGUCUCCAAUGUAGGGAGAAACUCCAACACCCAGAGGGAUGCUUCAGCUGGCCCUUUAACAAAGAUGUAUACUGUUCAGUGAUAAUGGAUGUCAUACUUAACACCUCAAUUUUACCCUUUUAAGUAAAAUUAGGUGUAAAUCUAGACCGACUGCCUCAAAAAUUACAUGUUCUAACUUCUAAACCUUUGGCUAGAAUUUGUUUAAAUGUCAUUUGCAAGGGUCUUAAGGUUACUUAUGAUAUUUUGAUUUAAACUAUUACUUAAAAAAACCAUAUGAAAUUAAGAAUUAACGUUAAAUGGUAAUUAACAUAUCUCAGUAGUGAUCUUUUACCUUAUUUCCAAAAUUACAUGACUUGUCUCCCUUGAAUACAUUAUGUGCUAUUCCCUAAUUAUAUUUGAGUAAACUCUUGCAUCAACUAAUUUCAAGUUCCAUUAUUUGAUCUGUUAAUUCAGGAAGACUAUGUUCAGUUAUUACACGCUGUAAAACUAUCUCACUAUAAAGGCACAUACAAUGUUAAAAAGAUUCAUUUAGGUGGUAAAAAAUGUGUGUUGUAUUUCUAAUAUAUAUGCAAAGUAUGUCAUUAAUUAAACUGGAAAAAAAGAAAAUUUCGCGUGAAAAAUUCAUUCUUUUAGAAUUGUUCUUAUCAAAUAAACAAAUUAUAUACAUAUAAAAAACCAUCACAUACAAUCUUUCUGUAAAUGAAAGAAGCAAUGUCUUCCAUAUAUAACCUAUUUCUGAUUUAAAGGCUUUCCUAUGCAUAUCUAUCAUUAAUAGAAUAAUAGAAGAUUGAUCUGUCAUUUUGAAAAAAAAACAAAACAGUUUAUUUGACUUAAGAAUGUUUGUUUGUCAUGUUUUAGAAUUUUUGUUAGAUUUUCGAAAUCCUCUGGUUUAAUCCAUUUGAAUGCCUUAGGCCAACCUUAAAAAUAUGUUUGUUUGCUGUUUUCCGACUGUACCUUCAGACUGAAGGGUCGGUAGGUAGGAAAAUUUUUUUUAUCAGCCAAAAUACAGUUUAAACAAGCAGUUACACUAAACCAAGUUUCUUGUGAAGAAAAAAACACAUUUUAAAACAACAAACACUGGACAUGCUGAAAACCAACAUCAAAUGAACAGGCAUUUUCAGAUAAAAAACUUUUUAACCAAAACUGAAACUUUAACAUAGUGUCAUUAUCCAAUUUAUGACAUAAAAUAUGAUAUAAUUAUUAAAUACUUGAACACUUAUAAACAAGGAAUGUCAUUAUGACUAGAACUGUUUUAAAGAAAUAUAUUCAGACAUGUAUGCUUCUUGACUAGAAUGUUUUCAUGAGUAGAGUAUUUUCAUCAGAAAAAUGUAUAUAUUAUAGAUUUAUAAGACAAUUAUUAAAGAGUGUAUUUUUAAUAAAAAAAAAAUAACCAUUGAAUCUUCAAUUGAAAAAAAAGGCAACUUGAAAAAAAGUAUUAAGACAUUCGACUGUUUUCAUAUUUCUAACAAUAUUUAAUUAUAUGUGAUAAGGUUAUAUUUUUGCCAGGCUUUAAUGAAAACCAAAGAAAAUCUAAAGUUUGGGGUGAAAUCCAUAGCACCCAUUAAAAUUAAAUGGUCUGUACUGAAAUGUUUUUAAAUGCAUAAAAAAAAUUGGCAGCAUAGCUCCUAAGGACAUGUUUUAAUUGAAUUCACACAGGCCACACAGUUUGGGUAUAUUUAAUAUUAUAAGAAAGAGAAUAAUUGCAAUGAGUGGGGCAGCCCCCUUAUCCUAAAGGAGCAUACUCAUUGCAAUCGAAGGUAGAUUUAAUAUAGAGAGAGUAUAUUUAUUUUUCAAGCUAACCAUUCAUUUUCUCUUGCUUCUUAUUGAUUUGGCAUGAUCUAUAUCCAUUAACAUUUCAAAUGAGCCCUUCCUCCGUACAGGCUUGUUUACAGAUAUCCAUGAAGAUUUAAGUCAGGAGGAGUGGUUUUCAUCUUUGUCGUCUUCACAACGAUUUUGUAGAAAAUAUGCCAUACUUCAAGCUGCUGUCGAAUUAUUUAACCAAUGAAAUUGGUUCCAUAAAGUCAGGCUCCACAGAUUCUGAACCCGAUUUGUUUGAGACAGAAUGGUUAUCGUGUCAGUUAUGAAUAUCCGCUGCAUCAUCGUCAAUGAUAUCAUCACACAUCAUUACAUGUGCCUGAAUCUGUAUAAACAGUUUACUAAUAAACUUUUUUGUUUGUUAUUUGUCUUAAAAUUGACACGAGACGACAGGUAAAGUACUCCUCCGUGACUUCAUGGAUACCUGUAAACAAUUUCCAUGUGCUUUAUCAUUAAAUGGUCACAUGAACGCUUGACGGGAAGCUAAGAAAAACCGAACUUGAAAUGCGUAAUUGACCCAGACUUUAAAUCAUUUCCGGAAAGAGACCAAAGUUCCGGAUCGCGUCAAUAGAGGUAUUAAAAAAAAUUUCUUCUCAAUUUAAAAGCAAUAAAAUUUUUCACAGUCGGGAGGAUUUUCAAGGGUCGGUCGGUAAACUGCAAACAAACAAUUUUUAAUUUAAGCCUAAAAAUUGCCUAUUGACUCCCAUUUUUCUUUUUACAAAUCUUUUACGUGUAUAAUGAUAAACCAUCUGAAAAAGUCUUAUGAAAUUUUAAUUAUUUUUUAAUAGUUUUUGAGAACUUAAUCUUGUCAAUGAUAAAACUAUGAAAAAUCAUGAGAGAACAUUUCCCGUCCAAAUUUGAAUGGCUAAUAUCUCCAAAACAUGCACAUUGACCUAUAUGUUUUUUUCUGCUCUUUUACAUGUAUUAUGAUAAGCCAUCUGAAAAAGUCUUAUAAAAUUUUAAUUAUUUUUUAAAAGUUUUUGAGAACUGUUAAAAUCUUUUCAAUGAAAAAGCAAUGAAAAAUCAUGAGAGAACAUUUUCCUGCCCAAAUUUGAAUGACUAAUAUCUCAAAAACAAGCACAUUGACCUAUACAUGUAUAUUUUUUCUGCUCUUUUGAUUCCUUAAUUAAUCCCCUUUCAAUUUAUACUAGUUUUAAGAAAAGUUAAUUAUUUUGAAACUGAGAAGCGAACUCCCUUAACUCAUGAGGUUUAUUGUAUAUACUGAUAAGUUGGAUAAUAUUUUAAUGUUCAAUAAAAUGCACAUUCAGACAGGGGUAAAAGCUUAGGUUUGAACCCAUGGUUGUGUUUUAGGGUGAGAUUCAAGCAUUGUUCAUGAGACAUGAAGGAUACCUUGGUGCUAUAGGAGCUUUUCUGAAAGGAGCAGAAGAAGAAGGUAAAUAGAUUUGAUUUUUGGUGUUUUAACGCCACUUUUAAGAACCGCAUUUAGGCUAUUUCACUGCAGCCAGUUUUUAUUGGUGGAGGAAGCCAGAGUGCCUGGAGAAAACCACAACCUUCGAUAGGAAAAUUGACUAUCCUAGUCAAUUAAGAUUAUAAUCGAGUGCACCAACAGGAGCGGGGUUCAACCUCGCAUCGUCAGUGUUGACUGGCUAGUGAUUACAGUAGUAGCUACUUAGACCACUGGGCCACCAAGGCCCCUGAAGGUAUAUGAAAUAAAAGAAAUUUUUUUUUUUUAAUUGAUCUGGAUACAUAAUUAUAAAAUAUAAGUGACAUGGUUGUUAACUACUAGUCCCUAGAAAAUCACUAAAAUCUAAAAAAAAAAAAAAAAAAAAAAAAAAAAAAGACUCCCAGGUCAGAAGACCUUUAGUGACUUACAUUUUACAUGAGGCAGAUAAACUGGUCCCCAGAUAAUUAAAUAGGACCUUGUUAUGUCCUUAAAAUACUCUCAUGCAAGUACACUUGAACUGACUUAGAUAAACUGGGGAAAACAUAUUGUGUAUUUUUUUAUUUUUAUUUUUGACCUGUUUACCUGUGAUGUAAAAUCUGAAUGUCAAUAACCUGACUGACAGCAAAUCAGAUAAUUAUGAGUUUCCUCAUAUUUCAACAACAAACUGCCACCAGUAAUUAAUAAUUGUUACUACAUGGGUAACAUGUACUAAACAAUACAGUUUGAUUAAUUUAGAAUUUUUGUAAACAAGUUUAUUGCAACUUUAUUAUAUUUUGCUAUAAUUUGAUAUUGUAAGAGUUUUUAAAUUGUUGAAAAACAGAUGACAGAUUUCAUAUGAUUGUAAUUUUUUCAUAGAGAUUUUAAACAGUUUUAUAACUCACAAGGAGAGAAUUUUAUUAUUUCUUUAAUAAUCUUAAUCUCAAAGUUAAUCUCAACUCGGCUGUUUAGUAUCUUAGUGAAACUCAUAUGACAGUUAUAUGUUAUUUUGAUUGACAGUAAAUUAAACUUUUCAACAGAUAAGAUACAUCUUUAUAUUUUGAAUAACAUGUAAAGAAAAUUGUGGUUAUUUGUAGAGAUAUAGCUGGCUCUCUAAGGUAGUGUUAGUCCAUGUGUUUAUGUGUUGGCUCCUAAAUUGAUUAUUACAGCUUUUUUAAGGCAAUAACUUGAAAACUGUUCAAUUAAUGCUUUUAGAAAAUUUUAUUUAAUGUUAAUUAUGACAAAAUGGGUACCCUUAAUAACCUAGAAGACUGAAACCAAUAUGUAAAAGUAAUUCCCUUUAAUAAAUCUGUAAUAUAUUCCUAACUGUAGUGUCAAAUUGAUAGGAUACAAAUACGGUAUUGUAUGUACAGUCAAAGCCAUUUAUAAAAUUUUAAUAAGUGCCAUUAGAAUCAAUGGUACAAAUUUCUUAUAAUGUAUUGUAUUUCCAGAUACAGAAAGAUAUACAUGGGGAGAGAACUUUGCAGGAUGUUCUGGUUUAUCUAGUUCUAAUCCAUUGUUAGACAGUAGAGAAAGAAGUUCAACGGUAAUUAUAUACCCCACAAAGAAAGUUUUGGGGGUUCAUAGGAAUCAUCAUGUCUGUUUCUCUGCCCUUCAAUCAUGCUUUGUGUCUGGUUCACAACUUUUGUUCCAUAAAUUCUAAGUUUACCAAACUUGGUAUGCAGUUGCAUCAUGGUGUGGUGGUAUUUUAAAUACCUUUGACCCUUAUGUCAGGUCAAAUCUUUCAAACUUUGUCCUUUGACCUCUAUGAUAGUAAAACCUUGUCCAAUUAGUUUCUGGUUCAUAAUAGCAUUUGUACUUAAAACCAAACUUGGGAUGGCUUGUGAUGUAUCAUUUACCAAAGUCAGGUCACUCUGAUCUGGAACAUGACGGUUGACCCUAUGAAAUUAAAUAUUGUCUGAUUUGUGUUGUGGUUGGUGCAUACUUUUGUAUUGUAACAGUCAGAUUGACAAAACUUUGUAUGUAGAAGUAACAUACCCACCUUGACUUUGACCUUUAAUUUUUGAAUUUACAGUACACAAAUCUCAGACUUUGUUCUUUGGUCCGUAUAGUUCUGUCCUAUCAGUGACCCAUGUUUUAAUCUUACACAGAGGCAAUGAAUGAUGAUAAAAAAUAAAUUGCCGAACACCAAAAAUCUUAACACGUCAUUGGCUCAAAACUUUCACAACAUGAAUGCAUGUACAGGGGUAUUAGCUACGUUAUGCAGAUAGCUCUAGUUACAGUAGAAAGUGAAAUAUUAUGUUCAUUUUAAGCAAGCACCUGCAUAAUUUAAUCUUUAGUCAUACUUUUAAUUGGGAAAACGAUUAAAAAGAAAAAGAUGUCUUUUAAAGGAAGAUCUGCUAGGGCAUAGAGGAAUUUAAGUAUUAAAAGGUGACCUUGAUGCAUUCCUUCAAUUAAAAAUGUUUAUGUCCAGUGAUGAAUUUUGUAAUGAAAAAUAUAUGCUUAAUGGAAGUUAUAUAUUUAUAAAAAAAAAUCUAAAUACUGUUUACCUUGUACUAUCUGCUUGUCUUCUAUGUCUUUUAAUAAAAGAAUACUAUAGAUAAAGUUUCAUUUUGAUGUUUUUUCUCAGUUUGAUAUGUUAGAACUUGACAAAUUAGAAAAGAUGUUACAACCCUGCUCACUACUACUAGAUCCCAACAGUUACCUCCCAGACACGGUUGAUCUGACAACAGAUACAGCUGCCAGAGAAUAUUGGAUAGAUUGUUUCUCUAACAGUGUUGAUAAGGUUUGUAAAAAUAUUGAAAAAGCAUUUAGCAAAAUAUUUGACUCUUUGUAUCCUCUAAAUCUUAAUUCCUAUAAAAUUUAAAUAUUUGAAGAUCAUUAAAAACUUGAUUUGUUCUAGAAAAUUGAGUCUACAAUUUUUGGAAAGACAAAAUGAGUUGCAAUAAUUAUUAACAGCAGAUUAAACUGAUUAUAAAUUUGUUGCAACAUCAAUGACUUUUUUCAAACUUUCAUCAACUUUAACAAAACUUGGACAGAAGCUUGUUAUGAUCAAAAGAUAGUAUUAAGGGUAAACAAUUGAAAAUAUUUUUAAAAGAUUGAAUCAGUUAUUUUGUCAAAGCUUCAUUGAAUUUCAUCAAACUUUUUAUAAAACAGAAGCUUUUUAUUAAUUAUGAAAAAUUGUUGGAAGUUCGAAACUAUUUUCUUUCUUCAUUUUUUUUGUACUUUACUGAUAAAUGAUUUUUUUUCUGCAGUUGUCAUUUAGAGAUUAAGUUUUUAGACACCAAUAACUUUAUAAAACUUUUUAGGAAUGUUAUGAAACUUGAACAGAAUUUCCUCAAGCCAAGAAAUUAAUUUAUUUUUUCUGUUUUUUUACUGACAAAUUGACUUCGUUUUUGUAUUACACUAUUUAAUACAUGGAACAAAGAAAUUGUAGGUCAAACACAAUUCAUGGAACCUAUUACUUACAAGUUUUAAUAUAUGUUAGCGAUAUUACAUUGGCUAUUAACUUCAAUUUCAUUUUUGUAUGUUUUGUAUUUAUUUCUUUAAAAACUUUCUUCAUUUCUGAGAAGUAAUGCUGACACAAUAAAUUUUUUUUUUAUAGAAUUACUGGAAGAAAGAUAUUUUCUGUCUAUUGAUAUAUUCCAGUAUGUAUAAAAUCAAUACAGUAUGAUCAUGAUAAUCUAUUGUAGACCAGAGAUCAAGCAUUGGCAAGUCAAACUGGUCCUGAUGUCAAAGAAAGAGCAGAAGCAUUUAAACAGAAAUACUUACAAAGAUUACAAGAACUUAAUGAUAAUCCUUGGUAUAGUAUACUUAAUGAUAAUCCUUGGUAUAGUAUACUGAAUGAUAAUCCUUGGUAUAGUAUACUGAAUGAUAAUCCUUGGUAUAGUAUACUGAUAACUUAAUGAUAAUCCUUGGUAUAUACUUACUGAAUGAUAAUCCUUGGUAUAGGUAUAGUAUACUUAAUGAUAAUCCUUGGUAUAAUCCUUGGUAUAGUAUACUUAAUGAUAAUCCUUGGUAUAGUAUACUUAUAAUCCUUGGUAUAGUAUACUUAAUGAUAAUCCUUGGUAUAGUAUACUUAAUGAUAAUCCUUGGUAUAGCAUACUUAAUGAUAAUCCUUGGUAUAGCUAUAGUAUACUUAAUGAUAAUGAUAAUCCUUGGUAUAAUCCUUGGUAUAGUAUACUUAAUGAUAAUCCUUGGUAUAGUAUACUGAAUGAUAAUCCUUGGUAUAGUAUACUGAAUGAUAAUCCUUGGUAUAGCAUACUUAAUGAUAAUCCUUGGUAUAGCAUACUUAAUGAUAAUCCUUGGUAUAGUAUAUAUACUUAAUGAUAAUCCUUGGUAUAGUAUACUUAAUGAUAAUCCUUGGUAUAGUAUACUUAAUGCACCAAAAAACUAACAAACAAAAUUUGAUUGCUUGUUGUGUGGUCUAAAAUAUUUUUGUACAGGAAUAUAGAGCAAUGGUACAGGUUAUUAUGCUACUAGUUUAGUUUCUUUUAUUGUAAUGAUAUUUCAAAGAAAACUUGAUAGCUGGUUUUAUUUUAAUGUACCAAAAAUGACAAAUUAUAAUUGUUUUACUGUUUUUUUAGCUUACCUGGUCAAAAGAAAUAUGAGUUAUUACCAUUAUUUGUCAUCAGUCAUUUUUCUGUUCACAUUUAACAUUGUUAUUUAUGUAUGAAAACUAUCAAACAAAAUGGAAUACAACUUUUUAAUUUAAUUUUUAGUGCAUAUGGAUCACUUACUGUGAGAAGUUUACUGGACACCAGCAGUCAUUGUUUAUCAGAUUGUCUCUUUACUGAUCCAUAUUCUCAGGUGAGGAAAUAAGUGGUCGUUAUGUCAAGAAAAAUACCAGCUAGUAGUGUGAAAUACUUCAAGUCGUGGAGAUGUAAAGGUCAUUAUACAGAUUUAAUAAAUGGAUCAUUAAGAUAUAUGUACAGUUGUUGGAUAAGAUGUGAAAUAGCAUUUAGUUUGACAGAUACAUGUAUAAUGUCCUUAUAAUAAGAUAUUUUCAUUUCUCUAGUUCUUAGGGGAUUUAUAUUUCUCUGUGUCUUUAUGAUAGUACAGAUAUGCAAAGGAUAUAUAUAUAUAUAUAUAUAUAUAUAUAUAUAUAUUAACAAUUUUGUGUGAGCAUAGUUUCUUGAAUUAUUUAAAUGAUACUGCUAAAUCAAGCAGCAUUUUACAUAAUUCAGUGUUCAUUAUUGUCGCCAGAUGGCAAGGCAGAUGUACACAAUGCACUUGAAGUAUCUAUACUAUGAAUAUGCUAUAGGCAUUGAGCCAUAAUGUAUUCUUCUGCAUUCUCUAUAAAAUGUGAAAUAAAAACUGCAUUAUAGUACAUCAAAUAUCUAUUUUGUUAGUUCCACUUACAUUAUUAAGUAGCAGCUUUGUAAAUGUAUACCUGACAUCCCUUAUAUACAAUAUUGUAUAAUAAUCUUAUGUUUAUACUAUGUUCUUACUGUUUAUUUGUUUUGUAAUUAGUUAAAGCAUACAGAGAAUGAACAAGCAUUGAAGUGCCUUCCUCAAUUACUACGUAAGUUAGAUGGAUUAUCAUUGGAGGAGCUUCAGUUGUCUCUUGCUAAAGGUCUGCUGGCAGGCAAUGUGUUUGACUGGGGAGCUAGAGAGGUUGUAGAUAUAAUGGAAAAUGAAGAUUUUGGCUUUGUUGAGGCUCAGGAUAAACUACAAGGUAAUUCAAAGGCAAACAACUCCAAUUAAUUGGUUGAUUUUUCAAUUAUUUUUAAUAAUAAACAUAUUAUUACUGACUUAUUACUUAAGGGCAUCCGAUACAGUUUCUCAAUAAAAUGUCAUUUUUAUUAUUUUGUAAUAUGUUGUAGGCCUUGGCGAGUUAUAAAACAAAACACGAAACAAAUCAUAGGUCACUGUGCUUGUUUUUUUUCGAGAAAAUUAGGGAUUUGUGCAAUUUUGUAAAAAAAUUAGGCAAUGUUAUAAAUUUUUUGGAGCAGAUAUUUUUCGUCGUAAUUUAUUAAGAUCGGGUUCAAUCUGAAGCUGUGAUAAGUGACUAAAAGGAAAAAAAUAAAUCACUACACGAAUAACUAUACAAUUAUUCAAGCCUUGCUUGACAUUGCGGACCAGAUGCUCAAAGUGGUAUUUUUCUAAACCUAAAAAAAGGGAAAUAAACUGUUUCUGAAAAUGUCAUUUUUAUCAUUUCUCUGCAUAAAGUGCAUUUUGUCAUGCUUUCUCCAAAUCUCAAAUAAAAAAUAUAGGUCACCCUGCUUGAUUCCAUGAUAAACGCGAUUUAUCCUAAAAAUUGCGUCCCCCCCUUUGUAGCCUCAACGUUAGCGCUAAAGUGCACGACGUCGACGUUAUCUCUGGAAAUUACCGGCAACAUUUUUCAGAUGUAUAAAUAUUGCUUGUAAUGUACUAUCUAUAAAUUGGCAAUAUUGUUUCCAGAAAUAAAAUCAUGUAAAUAACAAAUACCUCUCUCUCUUUGUGGUGUACAAUGUAAGUGAGAAACAUUUCAAGAAAAGUUAAUACAGACUGUUGAUAAUUUUUACGGCUUUUAAAAUUAAAGACUGGGCAAUUUAGAACUUGACAUACAGGAACAUUUACUGUACACACUCGUAUAUUAUUUCAUACCGUAUGUUGACCUCUAGAUUUAAUUUGUUUUGUUUGGUGGGCUGUUGUUUCAUUACAAAUAUUCCUUAAAAUCCUUUUCUUCACGUUUUAAUCACUGAUAAAUCCGGUUUUGUUGAUACGAAUCAAAAGUUAACGUCUUUUGGAUAGUAAAUCAAAUUUAACGCGCAUUGCAAUUCGAAUUAGAAUUUACGUUAGAACGUAAAACAUUUUGAAUGCGAAUUAAACUAAUUCGAAUUAGUUAAUGCGAAUCGAAUUCGAAUUACGUGUGAACUCAGAAUUAUCCUGCAGACGGACCUUCUUUUUUUGUACAUAAGUUGCAGCACAUGAAUUAGGCCGUUACUGUUCUCAUUUGAAUUGUUUAACAUUGUCAUUUCGUGACCUUUUAUUGCUGACUAUGCGAUAUGGGCUUUGCUCAUUGUUGAAGACCGUACGAUGACCUAUAGUUAUUAAUUUCUGUGUCAUGUUUGUCUCUUGUUGAGAGUUGUCUCAAUGGCAAUUAUACCACAUCUUCUGUUUUAUAUGGUCAGAAAACAAAAGCAAAAUCUUAUAAAGGAGAAUCUUCAACUUGCUAAAGAAUGCUUUUGUCCAAUCAAUGAAACUAUAACUUUGAGUUCUUUUGAUUUGGCAAAAACGAUUGGAUUAGUUACUAUUAAAAUCCUUCUCUCAUAGCGUAAUUCUAUUGGUCAAUAACUAUAUAUUUUUUUCACCAUAUAGCGCGUACAUAAAAUAUCGCACGUCUUUUCCUCUGUCUGUCCUUCCGGUCCUUCUUGUUAAUUACAUUUUUCAUGUGUACAAUUCUUGCUAACUUUCUAUAAAACUGAUAUCGUAUGUACGAAAGCCGAGAAGGCUCAUCUAUAAUUCAGAAUUCAGAAUUGGGAAAUCAUUUUUAUGCCCCACCUACGAUAGUAGAGGGGCAUUAUGUUUUCUGGUCUGUGCGUCCGUUCGUUCGUCCGUCCGUCUGUUCGUUCGUUCGUCUGUUCGUUCGUUCGUCUGUUCGUUCGUUCGUCCGUCUGUCCCGCUUCAGGUUAAAGUUUUUGGUCGAGGUAGUUUUUGAUGAAGUUGAAGUCCAAUCGACUUCAAACUUGGUACACAUGUUCCCUAUGAUAUGAUCUUUCUAAUUUUAAUGCCAAAUUAGAGAUUUACCCAAUUUCACGGUCCACUGAACAUAGAAAAUGAUAGUGCGAGUGGGGCAUUCGUGUACUGAGGACACAUUCUUGUUAUCAAAUACUUCAUAACGAUAAUGGAACAAAGCAGGCUGGGUUAAUAAUUAAGUCUCCCAAACAAAGUUUGGAGACUUAUUGUUUUUGGUCAGUUCUUAUUAUUUUUAUUAUUCUUCCUCUUCCUCUUCUUCCUCUUCUUCUUCUUCCGCCACUUUAAAAAUGAACUUGUCCGCAGCGGUUCUCCUAAACCACUUGUCAGAUUGACUUAGGAUUUCACAAAAUGGUAGACUAAUAUGUCUAGGUGAGCCAUCAAUCUUUCGUUUGUGCAUUGGGGUCUAUUAAGGGGUAUUUUGGGGGUAGAAAGGAGGGAGGGGUUUACUAUAGAACCCUAUGGGAUUUUAUUUUUUCUAAAAUUUUCAAAUGAAUAUACUUGAAAACUGUAAGUGAUAGAUACAUGCAAUCUUCAGAAAUGAUUAAGGACAAUAAAACAAAUCACAUGAAAUAUAGGGGAGUCCCUGGGGGUCAUCCCCACCCCUUCAAUUUGAGAAUAUGCUUUUAUCUUGUAAACGGUCCAGAUCCCCACCCCUAAACCAUAUAUAUUCUUGAAUGGGACGAUAAAACAAAUCAAAUGAAAUUAAAGGGAAGUCCCCGGGGUCAUCCCCACCCUGUUCAAUUUGAGAAUGUGCUAUUAUCUUGUAAACGGUCCAGAUCCCACCCCCUAAACCAUAUAUAUUCUUGUAGGGGACAAUAAAACAAAUGAAAUGAAAUAAAAGUGAUGUCCCUAGGGGCUCACCCCACCCCCUGUUGUUUGAAAACUUGUAAACGGUCAACAUCCCCACCCCUAAACCAUAUCUAUUCUUGUAUGGGACAAUAAAACUAAUCAAAUGAAAUUAAAUGGAAGUUCCUUGGUUGCCCCCACCCCGUUCAAUUGAGAAUGUGCCUAUUAUCUUGUAAAUGGUCCAGAUCCCCACCCCUAAACCAUAUAUAUUCUUGUAGGGGACAAUAAAACAAAUGAAAUGAAAUAAAAGGGAAGUCCCGAGGGAGUCACCCCACCCCUCUUGUUUGAAAACUUGUAAACGGUCAACAUCCCCACCCGUAAGCCAUAUAUAAUCUUGUAUUGGACAAUAAAACAAAUCAAAUGAACAUGGGACCAUAUAAAUGGCGAGUUAUGGAGCUUUGUUUGGGAGACUUCGUAACAGCAUCCUGUUACAAUUACUUCUUGUUGAUAUAUGUUUUAGUUUUGAUAUGAAAAUUGUAUGCCUGUCUUUAUGUUUACUACUCCACCUUAUAUAAAUAGUUUAUAUCUAUUUUGUUGUCCAUAAUAUAAUCUAUAGUGGGGGUUGCUUUUCGUCAUAUCUUUGUGCUUUUGCCGUUUUGGAAUCCUCCUCUGUAAGUCUCUGGUUCAAAAUGUUCCCCUCUAUCACCGUCCUAACAUUCACCCUACGUUGUUUUUCAAUCCUAGUUUCAUAGUCUAUUAUCUCCCUCAAAAUAUGUCCAUUACACGAUAAUACAAAUACUACCUAUCCCCACCCCCAAAUGUAUCAUGUUCGAAAAAAAGAAGAAGCAAACAACCGUUUAACGUCAUAUUAAUCAGUUCUUCUUCACUAUUGGUGCGAAUCCAGGUGGAUAUCUUCACUGUAAAACGAAAAAGAUGCGAAUCAUGAUCAGAUAAAGAUAUUUUUUACAGUUCUGACCUUUGAUCAAGCAUCACUUUAUCGGACUCGUAUCUAAAACUAUCCAUCUGUAUUUUGUUGCAGAUUUCAUACUCCCCAAGUUGUUAACCUUCUUCAAAAGUCAACACAUUGAUGUUGACUCGAGUUCAUUCGACAAAAUUUCCAGCAAUUGUUUAUAACACUAAGGUAGCUCUUAAGUCAUAAUCAAAGGUAAUACAAAGUUUUUGUAAAGAUGACAAGAGGUGUUAAUUACAAUUGGAUCUACUGAACAUAUGAAAAGAAGAGAUGACAAAACAAAACAUGAGGCUUUUGUGUCGCUCACCUUGGUCUAUGUGCUGCAGUGCAUAUUAAACAAACUAAGACACUCAAGAACUAUAUAGGCAAGAAUAUAAAGAAUAAAACUGCCAAAUGUCCUAAAAAUAACCAAUUCAUGGAAGUAAUCAAACAGCAGGUUGUCCGAUGCGUGUGAAAAUUUCAACGGUAGAUAGAUCUUGAUGAUUAAGUUUCAAAGAUAUAAGCUUAGCUGUUUUUUUUACCCCCUUUUCUAUUUUUAGCCAUGGCGGCCAUCUUGCAUGGUUGAUGGGCGAGGUUUUCAGAUACAUUUUUAAACAACAUUCCCUGAAGAUGGUUCAGGCUAAGUUUGGUUUAAUUUGGCCUUAAUGUUUCUGAGGAUAAGAAUUUUGUAAAAGAUUACAAAAGUGUACAAAAAAUUGCCAAAAAAUGACUUCAAAGGGCAAUAAUCCUUAUGGGGUCAAUUAAUAAGAAUGUGUAUCUCCAAGGAAGUGAGACAAAUAUCCAGCAAAUAUCCAACAUGAGCCGAAUAAUGGGAAUAAAAACGGACAAAUACAAAUAAUAUGGAGAAUGGAGUUGGUCAUUUUAGAGAAACUUAACCCAUAAAGUUAUGGCAGAUGCAUUGUCGGUAAAAUGAGCUGUCGGAAUAAUGAGCUGUCGGAGUAAUGGGUUGUCGGAAUAAUUGGAUGUCUUAAUAAUAGAUGUAGGACUUACGCGACAUCACCAUGACUGCUCCUAUCAGGCAAAAUAUAAUGCAAGGUUGCACGGAUGUUUUAAAGUUAAAAAGUCGUUUUUGAGUUAUAUUGUCCGAAGUGUGGACGACGGACGGACGAACAACGGUUAUACAACAAUACCGUAAUAGUUUUAUUUUUAACACACAUAUACACAUAUUUGAUCCUUUAAAAUCUAAUUUCUUUAAUUUCUUCAGCUAUUUCAAUUUCAACUAUUGAAAUCUAUCAUCGUUUUUGUGGAAUCUAAAUUUUUACAUUUUUGAAGAUAUUUUUAAGAAAUUCUGAUACAUGUAUAAAAUACCUAUUUGGUAUUGAUACUCAUAUGGUCCAGCUGGUAAAUGUCCUACCGUACGUGUAUGACCCGGCUUUAAUUAGUAUACAGACAGAAUUGUGUAAAAUUUAAAGCCAAUAAGAUAUGGCAUUUUAAAGAUAUGUGAAAAAAUACCUUUCCUUUUUUUAACUAAUAAAAAAAAUCCCAUAGUUCUGGAACGAACAAUCAUAAUUUCACCAAAACGUGAUACAGAUCGUUUGACCAUGCCCUGAUCACUGUACCGGAUAACACGCACAGAUGAGUAACCGUUACGGAUAGCAUCUCAAUUUGUUACUUUAAACAAUUUGUUCGUGUCCGUUCAUAUCCGUUAAACUCCGUUACUCAUCUGGUGUACCCUUUAAGUAUAUGUUGACGGCCGGUGGAGUCCGUCCCGUCAGGUGGACAAUUUGGAGCAUGUUCAAAACAAAAUUAUUUAUUACAAAACUUGGCCAACUUUUUCUAUCUGUCUCGCUUUUUUAUUAAGUUAAAUACAGUCAAGUCAAAAUUCAAGAUACGUGAUGUGGAAAAAGAAAAAUUGUCAUCGCAUGUGUUACUGUAUGUCAAUCAACUGUUACAAAUAAACAUUUCCCGCACAUGCCUCCCUACACACUCGUCAUUAACUGCAGUAUCAUAAAUUAAAGUACUAGAACAAAUAAUAAUGGUAACCUUUAUAUUGAAAAAGAUAUUAACUAUUUAUUAUAAUCAAUUAUGAGUUCCAAAAAAAAAAUCCAUCUUCUUUAUAUACAAGUCUGAGCAAUAAAUUAAAUGUAUAAUUUGUUUUUAUUUUUCCUUUUCUACAGACAUUCAUUUAUAUAUAUAACAUGAUAUUGUCAAAGACUGUAAUAUCUAUAAUAUGUGUUCUGUAUUAUUUUUGUGAGGGUCUCAAGGUAGAUUAGUGAAUGCUAACUGAGUCACGUUCUUUAAAUACAGUAUAAUAUUAUUAUUAUAAGAGCUAACUUUCAACUGCGACCGACUUCAAAUUAAAUACAAGAUAAGGAUAAAGAUAAGGAAUACACAGGUUAUUUACUUGUCAGAUUAUAUGGUAUUAGAACCUUGAGAAUUUGCUGGCUUAAGAUAAACAUACAUAAUGAGUUUAAUAGUUCUGUAAUUGAUAGUUUAUGAUGAUUGGUCAUUGAUUUCCAUUAGUAUAGUGAGUGUCAAUUAAAACGCAACACCAAAUGGAACAUUAUUUUGUCUAAAGAUUGAAACCAUUUAUCUCCCAUGAAAUAUAUCAGUAGCUAUGUAAAUAACAGGACUUUAUAAAAAAUAUUUGUUCAGGGAAGAAUAUAUUAUACCAUGGAAGUAAUAUUUAAACAUCCAUGAUUAUACUAAACAAACUAGUUGGUCUCGUUGUUAGCAUGCUUGUCUGAGUACAGAAUGUCGUAAGUUCAAACCUUUGUCCGCUAGAUCAAUCAAAAGACUUUGAAAUUGGUAUCCGGCUCAACAUAUUGGACAAACACAAUUCAAUUUAUUCACAUGUUCACAUAAGGAAUAUGCAUAUAGUUUCUGCUUCUGUACGUUAAGCAGAAUUCAUUCACUCACUCGUUAAACUAUUAUGAUCGAUCCAAAUGAAUUAAGAAACAUAUGCAAUACCCCAGGUUAUUAUUUUUUUGUUGCUUUUAUUAUAGUAGAUAAUGGAGUAACUGUAAUUAAAGUUUCAAACUUGUAUUGCGUUUUUGUAUGUACUCAGUAUUGUGUAAGUUUGCUUUCACCGCACUAAAAAUUACGGGAAAUUGAUAUCGCCUUUCUCAGCAAGAUAUGUACACGUUCCUAUCGUGUCAGUGGAAAGGGGAUUGCAAAUAAUUAUAGGAUAUAAUAUAUCUCUGAACUUUUUUUCACAAUCAAACAUCUUUCCGAGAAAUGUUUCACGGAAGUAGUAAAUUCCCUUCAGAAACAUGCGUUUAUACUAGUCCAUACAAGGGCAAAUGACAAAAAAGGGAUUGUAGUUAGACUCAUAGGCAUGUAAUAUAGUGUUGAGAGAGAGCAAGCCCAAAGCUAGAAAAUUGCUAGAAUCCGCGUCACCUGUUUUUGCCUUGCUUUUUCCCCUUAAAUAAUCCCUUCCAAAUUAUAGAUAUAAACUAUAUGGAGGUCCGUAUCGACAUGUCAAAAUACUGAUAAUUGAGAAAACUUUUUUUACAAAGUUUUGCCAGAGAAAUUAUCUUUCGAUCAUGAAAAAGCUUUUACUACCUAAGUUUUAUGUAAUUCUAUAUUUAAUUUUAACGCUAAUCGGAUUGUCGCUUUUUGUUCGAAAUAAGAUAUUUUCCGAAUUCUGAAUUCCGAAUUCUGAAUUCUGAAUGCUGAAUUCCGAAUGUUGAAUUCUGAAUUAUAGGUGAGCCUUCUCGGCUUUCGUACAUAUGGACACGUUCGAAAAUCAGUGCAUAUCAACUAUUCUUUAAAAGAGUUAUGCCAUUUGGAAAUAUUGAUUAUAUUGAAAAUUGCAUUGUAUUUGCUGUCAUUCCGUCAUUUCUCUAAUAUAUUUAUAAAAAAAUAUAAAGAACAAAAUAAACAGCUGCGCUACGUGCGCAUGAUACGCCCGUCGUCUUAUGAAAAAACAUAAUACAUGUUUUUAAAAUAACACGGGGGUUGUACAGGAAGUCAUGCUAAAGUAUAUCUUGACCCUACUCAUUAUCUUGCUCAAUAGGAAGUUUGUUUGUCACAACAUGUUUUAUAUGAUCCCCAAAUUUAAGCUCAAUAAAAAUUCAAGAACUCAAAAAUGAAUUAAAAGCCAAUUGUUCAGAGAACAAUUGAAAGUCUUUCCACAUCAAAGAAAUUUUGAUGAGAUGAUAGUUUCUUCAUACUAAAGCGAUAAAUAAUGUUUUAAUUAUAUUUUUGAGUGAUGUAAGGGAGAUAAUAUGCUACUUCCGGUAAAAUGAAUGUCACUUCUGGUCUCAUAUCAAAGCUUCUUCCACACUGAUUCCAAAAAUAUAUACUUUCUAUAUACUUUUGCAUGUAGAAUGGGAGAUAACUGGCCACUUCCGGUUUGUUUGAAGUCAUUUUUAGUCUUCAGUAAUCAGUUUAUGUAUAUAUAUGACAAAAUAUAUGGAUUCUGAGUAAUUUUAUGUGAAAAAAUUGCAAAAAAUGCUACUUCCGGUUUUCUCAAGGUCACUUCCGGUAGUCAUAUUUCAAGGUCAUUUGUCACCUAAACUUUUGUACAAGGUCAAAUGCCUUUAUAAUAAACUUAGUUGAAGUUAUAAUCAAAUAACCUCAUAUCAAGACAUUUCAGGGGCACUAACUCCUAUAAGAUGCCAUGAAAUUGUAUCAGACUUAAUGUAGCAUAUCUUCAUAACAAUAAAGCAGACAUUUUGCACUUGUUCUUUUAUAUGUAUCUUUCAAAGUGUCAGAGAAAAUGCAAAAACAAGCAAAAGUCACAAUUGAGAACUUGACCUUGACCUUUGACCUUGACCUCAUUUUCUAAGUUAGGACCUAGGGGAUUCAAAUAAAAAUAUCCCAGACUUAUACGGUUAACGGUUGAUGAGUUGAAAACACAUACCGACAAAUUUAUUGUGUAAGGGUAGAUAACUCCUAUAAAAUGUCAUCGAAUCACUUCGAUCCAAAUUAGCCAAAAAUUCCUGAGGAUGUAACGAACAAGUUGUAAAAAGAAUUUUGUCGCUAUCUUUUUUUGUUACGAAAGAGAUGCACACAGAUGAUAAACAGUGAAUAGGGAGAUAACUCUUACAAAGAAAAUGGUUCGCCUUAGCAGGGUGAAAUUUUUAAAAGCGCAUAAACUAUACGAUACCAUAUGAGAAAUAUCUAAGCGACAUCUUGCGAAACAAACAUUUAUCGCAAGAACAAAAUUUGGCGGAAAAAAAAAAAAAAAAAAAUAUAAUUAAAAACCAAUUGUUCAGAGAACAAUUGAAAGUCUUUCCACACCAAAGAAAUUUUGAUAAGAUAGUUUCUUCAUACUGAUGAGAUAGAUAAUGGUUUAAUUAUAUAUUUUUGAGUGAUAAAAGGGAGAUAAUAUGCUACUUCCCGUGAAAUAAAUGUCACUUCCGGUCUCAUAUGAUAGCUUAUUUCACACUGAUUCCAAAAAUAUAUAGUUUCUAUAUACUAUUGUAUGUAGAAGGGGAAAUAAUUUGCCACUUCCGGUUUGUUGCAAGUCAUGUUUCGUCUCCAGUAAUCAGUGUAUGUAUCUAUAUGACAAAAUAUAUUAAUUCUGGGUACUUUGAGAUGAAAAAUAUUGCAAAAAAGGCUACUUCCGGUUUUCUCAAGGUCACUUCCGGUAGUCAUUUUUCAAGGUCAUUUGUCACCUAAUCUUUUGUACAAGGUCAAAUGCCUUUAUAAUGAACUUAGUUGAAGUCAUAAUCAACUAACCUCAUAUCAAGACAUUUGAGGGGCAACAACUCCUAUAAGAUGCCAUUAAAUUGUAUAAGACUCAAUGUAGCAUAUCUUCAUUACAAUUAAGCAGACAUUUUGCACUUGUUCUUUUCUGUGUAUCUUUCAAAGUGUCGGAGAAAAUGCAAAUACAAGCAUAAGUCACAUUUGAGAACUUGACCUUGACCUUUGACCUUGACCUCAUUUUCUAAGUUAAGACCUAGGGGCCCCAAAUAAAAACAUUCCAGGGUUAUACGGUUAACUGUUUAUGAGUUAAAAAAACAUACCGACAAAUUUAUUUUGUAAAGGUAGAUAACUCCUAUAAAAUGUCAUCGAAUCGCUUCGAUCCAAAUUAGCCAAAAAUUCCUGAGGAUGUAACGAACAAUUUGUAAAAGGAAUUUUGUCGCUAUUUUUUUUUGUUACGAAGGAGAUGCACACAGAUGAUAAACAGUGAAUAGGGAGAUAACUCUUACAAAGAAAAUGGUUCGCCUUAGCAGGGUGAAAUUUAAAAGCGCAUAAACUAUACGCUACCAUAUGAGAAAUAUCUAAGCGACAUAUUGCGAAACAAACAUUUAUCGCAAGAACAAAAGUUGGCGGAAAAAAAAAAUAAUAAUAAUAAUAAUUAAAAACCAAUUGUUCAGAGAACAAUUGAAAGUCUUUCCACAUCAAAGAAAUUUUGAUAAGAUAGAUUCUUCAUACUGAUGCAAUAAAUGAAUGGUUUGAUUAUAUUUUUGAGUGAUAUAAGAGAGAUACUAUUCUACUUCCGGUGAAAUGAAUGUCACUUCCACUCAUAUGAAAGCUUCUUUCACACUGAUUCCAAAAAUAUAUAGUUUCUAUAUACUUUUGUAUGUAGAAGGGGAGAUAAUUGGCCACUUCCGGUUUGUUAAAAGUCAUUUUUAGUCUUCAGUAAUGAGUUUAUGUAUCUAUAUGACAAAAUACAAGGAUUCUGAGUAUUUUGAUAUGAGAAAAUUGCAAAAAAGGCUACUUCCGGUUUUCUCAAGGUCACUUCCGGUAGUCAUUUUUCAAGGUCAUUUGUCACCUAACCUUUUGUACAAGGUCAAAUGCCUUUAUAAUGAACUUAGUUGAAGUUAUAAUGAAAUAACCUCAUAUCAAGACAUUUCAGGGGCACCAACUCCUAUAAGAUGCCAUUAUAUUGUAUAAGUCUAAAUGUAGCAUAUCUUCAUUUCAAUAAAGCAGACAUUUUGCACUUGUUCUUUUAUAUGUAUCUUUCAAAGUGUCAGAGAAAAUGCAAAAACAAGCAAAAGUCACAAUUGAGAACUUGACCUUGACCUUUGACCUUGACCUUAUUUUCUAAGUUAGUACCUAGGGGACUCAUAUAAAAACAUUCCAGGGUUGUACGGUUAAUGGUUUAUAAGUUAAAAAUACAUUCCGACAAAUUUAUUUUGUAAAGGUAGAUAACUCCUAUAAAAUUUCAUCAAAUCGCUUCGAUCCAAAUUAGCCAAAAAUUCCUAAGGAUGUAACGAACAAUUUGUAAAAGGAAUUUUGUCGAUAUCUUUUUUUGUUACGAAGGAGAUGCACACAAAUGAUAAACAGUAAAUAGGGAGAUAACUCUUACAAAGAAAAUUGUUCGUCUUCACAGGGUGAGAUUUAAAACCGUAUAAACUAUACAAUACAAUAUACAAAAUAUCUAAGCGACAUAUUGCGAAACAAAAAUUUCAGAAUGUGGCGGAAAAAAAAAAUAAUAAUAAUAAUCAGAAGAAAUACAAUAAGUCUUUUCACAAAAAAGUGAAAAGACUUAAUAAUCAGAAGAAAAACAAUAAGUCUUUCCACAGAAAAGUGGAAAGACUUAAUAAUCAGAAGAAAAACAAUAAGUCUUUCCACAGAAAAGUGGAAAGACUUAAUUAAAAACCAAUUGUUCAGAGAACAAUUGAAAGUCUUUCCACAUCAAAGAAAUUUGGAUAAGAAGAUAGUUUCUUCAUACUGAUGCGAUAAAUAAUGGUUUUAUUAUAAUUUUGAGUUAAAUAAGGGAGAUAAUAUGCUACUUUUGGUGAAAUAAAUGUCACUUCCGGUCUCAUAUGAUAGCUUCUUUCACACUGAUUCCAAAAUAUAUAGUUUCUAUAUACUUUUGCAUGUAGAAUUGGAGAUAAUUGGCCACUUCCGGUUUGUUGGAAGUCAUUUUUAGUCUUCAGUUAUCAGUUGAUGUAUCUAUAUAAAAAAAUAUAUGGAUUCCGAGUAAAAAAAUAUAUGGAUUCCGAGUAAAAAAAUAUAUGGAUUCCGAGUAUUUUUUCAUGAAAAAUGUGCAAAAAUGGCUACUUCCGGUUUUUCUAAGGUCACUUCCAGUUGACAUUUUUAAAGGUCAUAUGUCACUUAACAUUUUGGUAAAGGUCAUAUAGCUAUAUAAUGAACCAAAUUGAAGUAAACAUCAAUAAACAUGAUAAUUACACAUUUCAGGAGCACUAACUCCUAUAAGAUGCCAUAAGAUUGUUUCAGACCAAAUGUAACAAAUCUACAUUACAAUUAAGCAAACAUUUUGCACUUGUUCUUUUAUAUAUAUCUUUAAAGGUGUUGGAGAAAGUGCCGAAAAAAGGAAAAGUCAACAUUGAGAACUUGACCUUGACCUUUGACCUUGACCUAAUUUUCUAAGUUAGGACCCACGGGAUAUAAAUAAAAACAUUGCAGGGUUAUACGGUUAACGGUUUAUGAGUUAAAAAAACAUACCGACAAAUUUAUUCCGUAAAGGUAGAUAACUCCUAUAAAAUUUCAUCGAAUCGCUUCGAUCCAAAUUAGCUAAAAAUUCCUGAGGAUGUAACAAACAAUUUGUAAAAAGAAUUUUGUCGAUAUCUUUUUUUUACGAAGGAGAUGCACUCUGAUGGUAAACAGUGAAUAGGGAGAUAACUCUUACAAAGAAACUGGUUCGCCUUAGCAGGGUGAAAUGUAAAAGCGCCUUAAUUAUACGAUACCAUAUGAGAAAUAUCUAAGCGACAUAUUGCGAAACAAACAUUUAUCACAAGAACAAAAUUUGGCGGAAGAAAAAAAAAAAAUAAUAAUCAGAACAAAUACAAUAGGUCUUUCCACAGAAAAGUGGAAAGACCUAAUUAAAAACCAAUUGUUCAGAGAACAAUUGAAAGUCUUUCCACAUCAAAGAAACUAUUAAAAAAAGCAAGUUUCUUCAUACUGAUUCAAUAAAUGAAUGGUUUUCAUAUACUUUUGAGUUAAAUAAGGAAGAUAAUGUGCUACUUCCGGUGAAGUUAAUGUCACCUCCAGUCUCAUGUGAUAGCUUAUUUAACAGUAAUUCCAAAAAUAUAGUUUCUAUAUACUUUUACCUUCAAACCAGAAGAUAAUUGGCCACUUCCGGUUUUUCAAAAGUCACUUUUAGUCUACAGUGAUAAGUAAAUGUAUUUAGAUUACAAAAUAUAGGGAUUCUGAGUCCUUUUUCAUUAAAAAAGUGCAAAAAUGGCCACUUCGGUUUUUUCAGGGUCACUUCCGGUUGUCGUUAUUCAAGGUCAUAUGUCACCCAAUAUUUUGUUAAAGGUCAUUUGGUUAUAUAAUGAAUCAUGUUGAAGAUAUUAUCAAUAAACCUGAUAAUUAGACAUUUCAUGGGCAAUAACUCCUAUAAGAUGCCAUUAGAUUGUUUCAGACCAAAUGUAACAUAUCUUCAUUACAACUAAGCAAACAUUUUGCACUUGUUCUUUUAUAUAUAUCUUUAAAGAUGUCAGAGAAAAAGCCAAAACAAGGAAAAAUCAACAUUGAGAACUUGACCUUGACCUUUGACCUUGACCUCAUUUUCUAAGUUAGUAUCUAGGGGUCUCAAAUAAAAACAUUCUAGGGUUAUGCGGUUAAUGGUUUAUGAGUUAAAAAUACGUACCGACAAAUUUAUUUGGUAAAGGUAGAUAACUCCUAUAAAAUUUCAUCGAAUCGCUUCGAUCAUAAUUAGCCAAAAACUCCUGAGGAUGUAACGAACAAUUUGUAAAAAGAAAUUUGUCGCUAUCUUUUUUUGUUACGAAGGAGAUGCACUCUGAUGGUAAACAGUGAAUAGGAAGAUAACUUUUACAAAGAAAAUAAGUCGGCUUAGCAGGGUGAAAUUUAAAAGCACAUAAACUAUACGAUACCAUAUGAGAAAUAUCUAAGCGACAUAUUGCGAAAACAAACAUUUAUCGCAAGAACAAAAUUUGGCGGAAAAAAAAAAAAAAAAUAAUAAUCAGAAGAAAAACAAUAAGUCUUUCCACAGAAAAGUGGAAAGACUUAAUAAUAAUAAUCAGAACAAAUACAAUAAGUCUUUCCACGGAAAAGUGGAAAGACUUAAUUAAAGAAUCAUCACGCAAAAGUAUACAGAUCUUAAGAAUAAUUUAACUAAAAAGUAUGUGAAGUUUUAUGCAAUGAUGAUAAAUAGUUUCUGAGAUACGGCGCGACAUGUGAAAACCCCAUCUUUUUGUCCUAAACUCAAUAAUUUCUACAUCAAAUUUUGAAUCAUCCUCAAAAAGUAUAUACAGAUCUUCAGAUUAAUUAAACUAAGUAGUGUGUAAAUUUAUAAGCAAUAGUCAUAAAUCGUAUUUGCGAUACAGCGCAAACUGUGAAAAAAAACACUGUUUUAGUUACAAAGUCCUGUAACUCAAAAAGUUCACAAAAAAUUAAACAGAUUGUUUGACCAUUAUGACUGAAAAAAGAAUCAUGUUCAGUUUCAUGAAAUUUGCAUAAUAUGCUGUACCAUGUUUACGACGGACAGACGGACACGGGUAUUUAUAUACCAUAAAACGUCCGGUCAAAAUUUUUACGGGUGUAUAAACAUAUUUGGCUAUUGCCUUUUGUUAGAUAAAAUACGUGCAACGUGGAAGAAAUAAGAACUUCGUUCUUUUAUAAAAGUUGUAUCAUUGUUUAUAUUAGUGGCGUGUACCUACAUUAUCGGUAUUAGUUUUAAAAUACCAUUGGUUUCCUGUGCUGUAAUAAAAUGUCAUGGAUUAUGAAUGAUAAUUACAAAUGAUAAAUGACAUGCACCAAAAGGGUCAGUCGUCUUGAGAUUGCUCACUAUACGAUAUUGUGUUGAAGAUCUCAAAGAAACAGUAAUUUGUUUUAUUUUUUAUGAUGUUAUUAGACUGUUAUCCUGUUAGAAUCAAAUGCACUAAUAUUAAUGGCGUAGAAGUAAGCAUGGGAGAAACAGAAAUUGGAGCAUCGAAAUUCCGCAUUACGUUUCUUAUUACGGAAAAUUACACACAUUACGUCCCGCAAAAAGUGACGUUUUUGCAAGAAUUCAAACGCUUAAUGUUGCACCAAGAGUUAACUCCCUUGAAACUGUAUCGGAUGCCCUUAAACCAGAUAGUGAUUGGUUGAUUAAUUUCAUAACAUAGAUUUUAUUGGAAUUUCACAAUAUAUUCAUAAUGUACUGAUUUAAUUUACCAAUUCUUAUAUAUCAGUUAUUUUCUUGAUUGCUAUUAAAGGAGGCUGUUGAAUUUUUGUUUUUCAAUGUAUUAUCUGCUUUAACUAUUGCCCCAAACUGUUGUAUUUCAGAGCGACCAUGGUUGUGUGAUAAUUAUGAAGAAUGGCAUCAAAGACUACAAGAUAAACCACAUAAAUGUGCUGUGAUAUUUGUAGACAAUAGUGGGGCUGAUAUUAUAUUAGGAGUAUUUCCAUUUGUGAGGGAGCUUCUCAGGAGAGAGACAAAGGUAUGUUUAGAAUCAUGCCAUUCUAAAUUUUCCAGAACAUAACCAAUAGCAUGCCAACUACAUGUUUUAGAAUAAAUGUGUUUGUUUUAAAUGCAAAGACCAUAUGAGUUAGUCAAUAUCAAUUUUUAAAAAUGACAUCUUUAAUGACUUGACAACAGUAUCAUUAUUAAAUCCCUUGUGAAUAAUAGUCUGUUAAAAGGUCUGGUUAAUUUUUGAAAAAGUGAAUGAUGACAUUUAUUGUGCUUUGAACAGAUUAUUACCAUAAAACAUGGGAUGUGUAAUACCUGAAAGUGUAAGAUAUAAAAAAGAAGAUGUGGUAUGAUUGCCAAUGAGACAACUAUCCACAAAAGACCAAAAUGACACAGACAUUAACAACUACAGGUCACCGUACCGCCUUCAACAAUGAGCAAAGCCCAUACCACAUAGUCAGCUAUAAAAGGCCCCGAUAAGACAAUUUAAAACAAUUCAAACGAGAAAACUAACAGCCUUAUUUAUGUAAAAAAAAAAAAUAAUAAUGAACGAAAAACAAAUAUGUAACACAUACACAAACGAUAACCACUGAAUUACAGGCUCCUGACUUGGGACAGGCACAUACAUAAAUAAUGUGGCGGGGUUAAACAUGUUAGCAGGAUCCCAACCCUCCCCUAACCUGAGACAGUACAACAUAAGAACGAACUAUAAUUAUUAGUUGAAAAAGGCUCAACUCAUCAGAUGGACAAAAAUAUAAGUGAACGUGGCCCGGCCCGAUAAAAGAUGUCUGCACCUUGAUUUAUAUUUACAAACAAUGUCCUUAUACUGAUUACAAAAUUAAUAAAAGUUUUGACAAGUUUUUGAAAUCCAAAACCCUGGUGUUAUACAACAAGUUAUACAAAGAUUUCUUUUUUUUUUAAAUCAAAUUUCAUACACAAGUGUAUCAUUAGUAUAUCAUUGUUUAUUUAUUGUUAUUAAAUUAUUGAAUUUAAGUUAUAUAUUUUAGGUAAUAUUAUGUGCCAAUUCUCGACCUGCAUUGAAUGAUGUGAUAUAUAGUGAACUUCUAAUACUUGUAAAGAGAGUAGCAGAAAUUUCUCCAGACAUAAAGGCAGCUUAUGACAAUGGUACUCUAAUGGUGAUGGACUCUGGGCAAGGAUCACCCUGUCUUGAUUUAAGGUAAAGACCUAGUCCAAUAACAGUGUAAUAUCCCAUUUAUAACAUAAAUGUUCACCUUUUAUUGGAGUAUGCAGCUGAAGCCUUCCUCUGGGUGCUGGAUUUUCUGGCUGUGUUGAAGACCCAUUGAUGGCCUUUGACUGUUUUCUGCUCUUUGAUUGUUGUUGUCACUUUGACAUAUUCCCCAUUUCAGCUCUAAACUUUUGGGGAAUAUGAUAACACAUUUGUUGUAUGGAAAUCAUUUAAAUUGACAAGAAGUGUUACUUUUGUUGUUUGAAAAUUGGCAAAACUAAUAUAAGUUGAACUUGUUUUCAUUUGAAAAAUUACCUGGUAAUUCUCCAGAAUCAGGAUCUAAAGGACCAUGGCUAUCUUCAUAUUCCCACCAAGAAAGAAAAAGUAUGUCAUGUCAUUGAUGAAAUUUCUGUUGUUCGGUAUAUAAUAAGCUAAUCACAGUAAUUUGAUGUAUGCUUUUUGAAAAUACUAUCCAGAUUGCAAUGAUACCAUAAUAGCAAAAUGUAGGGUUAUUGCAGGAAUGUCGGAAAAAAAUUAUCCCUCACAGAAUCGCUAUUGAAUUCACAAUCUUUUUCAAUGUAAUGCUAAGAAACUUCACAGCAACUGAAAGUUCUAAGUCAGACAGGCAUUCUAGAUGAGACAAGUUUAACAUUACAUAUAAUAGAAAUAAAAGUUAAAACUAGCCAAGGACCUUUACUUGUUAAACAAUUAUUAAGAAAGCAGUCCAAUAGUUGGUCCUAAAUUAAAAUUGAAGAUCCUGUAUAAAGAUAUAGUAUUCUCUAAACUGUAUGAUUAAUUGAAAAGAGUUCACUGUAGGAAAGUUAAUAAAAAUUUAAAUAAUUGUACAAGCUGUUUAUUUGUAUUUCACUUUUUUUCAGAUUGAUUAAUUUUGAGCUUGUUGAAUUGAUGAAGAAACAAGAGGCUGAUUUAAUUGUGAUAGAAGGAAUGGGACGAGCCAUUCAUACAAACUUUGAUGCUGCAUUUAGUUGUGAAUCUUUGAAAGUUGCUGUGAUAAAAAAUCGUUGGUUGGCAAAUAGACUUGGAGGAGAUAUGUUUAGUGUUGUUUUUAAAUAUCAGAAACCACAAAAAAUAAUUGCUGCUAAAUCAUAGCAGCUCUCAUUAAGUAAUACAAAUGAGAGAUGUGCAUUCUUUUAAUUUUGUUGAUCCAAAUUUUCUGGGUCAUCUCAUCUCGAUUGCUUUUAUCACUUUCGCCGUCAAGGCUAAAGUGAAAAAAAUCAAUCUCGUUGACCAAAAAUAAUCUAUAAUUACUUACAAAAUUUACACUGAUACAUUUCUAGAGUACUGUGAACAUAAACUGGUUUUAUUUCAUGUAUCAAUGGUCAAUUGCCCAAAGACAUUUUUGUCAUGCAUACCUUAGCUGAACAUGUGAAUUGGUUCAAACUGUAACCAUUAUAUUUAACUUUUGUGAUUAUUGUGUUGCCCUAUUAAAUUUGUUAAUCAUUGGCACAGAAAUGGAAUGCCACAGAUAGAAACGAUCUCCCGCUACCUCUUCACUUUUAUGUUGAACCUAAUGUUCUGUCUGUCAUAUUUCAGUGAAUUUUAAUUAUUGAAUUGCCCAUUAAUUUUCUGACUAUGUUAAUUUUGGACAUAUCAAUCUGUGAUUUGUUAUUUUGGUCCACCAAUGGUGGUUUCCAUGUGAUCAGUCUGGUUUUUAAGAUGGCACAUAAUUCUGAAUUUCAGACCACCUUUUAUAUCUAAUAUUAUAAUUGAACAGGCACUUUGUUAUACAAUUCAAUACAGAACUCAAUACACAAUUCUUGACCUCAAUACUAUGUAAAAUUAUUGAUACAUAGAAUUGCUACAAUUAUUUAUUUAUUUAUAGAUAUGUGAUAAAAACAACACCUACUUAUCUGUAAAUUAUAUGUGAAAGAUGAAUGAUUAAACAUGUAUGAUAUAAUUUUUUUUUAAAGAAAACACAGAAAAUUAAACUGUAUAAUAAUUGCAAGCAGUCUAUUUUAUUUGUAUAAUCAAUGUCAUAAUCAUCUGAUAUAAGUCAAUUAUUUAGCUUAAUUUAAGAUACAAUUAUCAGUGAUUUGCUUGUAUCAAUAAACAAAAAUGUAAAACUCUAGGCUGAGCAUUUUCUGCCAUACAAUUUGUUUGUUUCCUGUUGUUACAUUGCUAUUUAACAUUAUGAGUUUUUGUAAAUGUUUAUUUGAAUUUAGG